rnacentral:lncRNA from 1 species
CAAGCCUAGAAGCCUUCAGCUUAAUCUUCUUCCUAAGCAAGUUCGAGCACUCGACCGAAGAUGUCUUGCUGCGGAGGAAACUGCAACUGCGGGUCAUCCUGCAAGUGCGGCAGCGGCUGCAACGGCUGCAACAUGUACCCUGAAGCCGAGGUCCAGACCUCCAGCCUCCUCGUCGUCGCCACCGCCGCCCACAAGGCGUACGUCAUUCAUUUAGAUCAUAUAUACUACUCCAUCCGAUACAUAAUAAGCGUCGCUGAUUUAUUAUUACAAUUGUCGUCAUGGAUGGUCUUAUAAAGUUUGGUUGUUGGAACAUAUGUGCAGGAGCUCCGGCGGGAUGGAGAUGGCCGCGGAGAACGGCGGCUGCGGCUGCAGCACCUGCAAGUGCGGCACCAGCUGCGGCUGCUCAUGCUGCAGCUGCUAGAUCUCAAUCUGCUGCAGCAGCUUAAUUUGCAUGCCAGGGACGCAUGCAACGACCAUCUACAUAUAGCUACUCGAUCUACCGCUACCAUGAACCGAUCCAAGGCUAGCUGCACAAGCUAGGCCCUUAUUUCCCUUUGUACGGGUGCAUGCAUGCCAUCCCAUGCCAUGCUUGUAACCCCCCAUAAAUAAAAUCGCCCUGGUUUAACUAUACAUGCACGUACGUGUGUGUUAUCUCUGUGAUCAUCGUCUUAACUAUUACUAGCAAAAGACCCGUGCGUUGCUAUAGAACAACAGAAAAUUGUAUCAGAAUGUCAAAUUAAUUGCCUCAGGCUCAUCCCAUCGCUGUCCAAGUCCUGUGUGGAGCCACCGGUACGCACGAGCCGGUGGAGGCGGCGCAGCCGCCUUUCUCACAUGGACGGCGCCGACGCGCACGAGCUGGUGGAGACGACCAAGAGCGGCGGCGGGCACCGGCGAGAUCCCAAGGGAUAGUAAUUACUGUGCCCGCGCGUUGCUACAGGUCAAUAAAAUCACAAACUGUUUAUUUUUAUUUUCUGUGUAGGCAACUCAUGGCGCUGUCGAGGUCGGCAUGCGGGUGUGGUGGCGUCGGUUGUAAGAUGGAGUAGAAAAAAUCGUGAAAAAAACUGGAGGAAAAGAAAAUAAUGGACAGUAGCAUAUUGGUGAAAAUAACGAGUAGUGACAUAUUGGUUGUAAUUUUAACGAAAUUAACCUACGUCGACCACGACUGUACCAUCACCACCAACUCCAAUUUAAUAACGAAGUUAACCUACGGCGACCGUGACCGCGACCGUACCAUCACCACCAACUCUAAUUUAAUAACCCAAUUUAAUAGAUAGUAAUUCUCACAUGGAACAACGGAAAGUGUAUCAAGCACGAGCCGGUGGAGGCGAAGUCUGGACAUUAAUUUUUUGAUUGGAUUGAUUUCCAUACUGAGAUGGAUACGAAGAAUUUUGGAUUUCAUGCUAAGGAGAUUGAUUUAUUUUAGGAUUGUUCGUAUUAUGUUGUGACAAAUUUGGACCGUACAAUAACUUUCGGUAAAUCUAAACCGUAGAAUUUCUGCUACUGAAAUCAUGAAUAAGACGGGAGGAAAAAAAAAUAAGGGGCAGUGGCAUAUUGAUUGUAAUUUUAACAAAGUUGACCGACCAACGGCGCCCACCCAUCACCACCGGUUCUAAUUUAAUAUAUUGUAAUAGAAUAUAUUGUAAUAGAUCAGUUAAAUUCUAACAAGGGAGUUCUAAAAUUAGUUCUGCUCAAGAGAAGAAUAACCUAAGCGAAAUCCAGAUCGAGGACUGUUUGCACAUGGAAAACAUGGAAAGUUAAUUUCAGUGGAGAAUGCACGAGACAUGCACGCACGCUAAGCCUAAGCUGAUGCAAAAUUAGACUGCCAAGAGUUUUCUAGCUUAAGUGUAAUAAAAAGACCCUGGACAAAAGAGAAAAGACAAACGUGUUUCCCUUUACGUAGUUUUUGUUAACAGUUGAAGGAAAGGAAAAAAAAAUAGAUGCAUCUGUUGCUUUCAACCGUUGGUGUCGGCGGUACGUCAUCUUUUAGAACCCUGCCACCUGUUGAUUCUGUACAAACCACUAAAAUUCGAACGAGUAUGAAUUAUUUAAUCCGAGGCAAUUCAUACAUGCUCCUAGACCGGACAUGAAAACCACUGUCCUAACUAACUAAGAGAAUGUGCACUGUGUUGUCCUUGCGAGGUUUAUUGUCCUUCGAAUCUUCACACCAUGGUGAAUCAAGUGUAAAAUUUAUGUGUAGAAUACAUACGGAGUACUCGUUUUUUCAAUUUGAAGAGUACAUUUAAAAUGAAAAAUUGAGAGGAUGUCUUUCUCAAAAAACAAAUUGAGAGGAUGUAAAUGUAAAGUGAGCUCUCACUACUCUUCUUCUCCGCUGGGGUCACUCCCCAAAGAUAAGCAAACGCGAGCUCUCCCCCAUGCCCGCCGCCGUCACCGUCCACCUGGCGCCGCUCCCCAAUCACCCACCAAAACAACCUCCGCUGCCAAAGCCCAACGCCGCCUCGCUCCCGCAAUGGAACGGGCUCCUCGCCGACCUCUCCCGCGCCGGCCGCCACGCCGACGCCCUGGCCAUCCUCCCGCGGCUCCUCGCCGCCUCCGACGGCGUCGCCCCCGACAGGUUCACGCUCCCUCCCGCCUUAAAGUCCUGCCGCGGCGACGACGGGCGCCAGGUCCACGCGGUCGCCGCCAAGCUCGGCCUCGCCGACGGCGACCCCUUCGUCGGCAACUCCCUCGUGUCCAUGUACGGCCGGUGCGGCCGCGUCGACGACGCUGAGAAGGUGUUCGAGGGAAUGGCGGGCAGGAACCUCGUCUCCUGGAACGCGCUCAUGGCGGCCGUCGCCGACCCGCGGCGCGGCCUGGAGCUGUUCCGGGACUGUUUGGAGGACCUCGGCGGCACGGCGGCGCCCGACGAGGCGACGCUGGUGACGGUGCUCCCGAUGUGCGCCGCCCUCGCGUGGCCGGAGACCGGCAGGGCGGUGCACGGCCUCGCGGUGAAGUCCGGGUGGGACGCCGCGCCGCGGGUGAGCAACGUGCUGGUCGACAUGUACGCCAAGUGCGGCGAGAUGGCCGACGCCGAGUGCGCGUUCCUGGAGGCUCCGCCAGGCGCCGGGAGGAACGUCGUGUCCUGGAACGUGAUGCUCGGCGGGUAUGCGAGGAACGGCGAGGCUGGCGCGGCAUUUGGGCUCCUCCGGGAGAUGCAGAUGGAAGAGCGUGGCGUGCCGGCAGAUGAGAUCACCAUGUUGAGCGUCCUGCCGGUUUGUUCGGGGCUGCCUGAGCUGGCGAAGCUGAGGGAGCUGCACGCCUUUGUGGUCCGGAGAGGCUUGCAUUUGACCGGCGACAUGGUGCCGAAUGCGCUUAUCGCAGCCUAUGGGAGAUGUGGGUGCUUGCUCCAUGCCUGCCGUGUCUUUGACGGCAUCUGCAGCAAGAUGGUCAGCUCAUGGAACGCGCUCAUCGGCGCGCACGCGCAGAACGGCGAAGCGAGCGCCGCAAUUGAGCUGUUCCGUGAGAUGACCAAUGCUUGUGGGCAGAAGCCUGACUGGUUUAGCAUUGGGAGUUUGCUCCUGGCAUGUGGCAAUCUGAAGCACCUGCUCCAUGGCAAGGCAGCUCAUGGAUUCAUCCUGAGGAAUGGACUGGAGAAGGAUUCCUUCAUCCGGGUUUCGCUUCUCUCUGUUUACAUCCAAUGCGGGAGGGAGUCUUUGGCUAGAGUCCUGUUCGAUGCGGUGGAGGAAAAAGAUGAGGUUUCAUGGAACACCAUGAUCGCCGGUUACUCACAGAACGGAUUGCCCGGUGAAUCCCUCCAGCUCUUCAGGGAGAUGCAAUCCAAGAAAGGAGGCCACUGGCCAUCACUGCUUGCAGCAACAAGUGCCUUGGUGGCUUGCUCAGAAUUACCAGCUGUUCGACUAGGGAAGGAGAUGCAUUGCUUUGCCCUGAAAGCCGACCUCUGCGAGGAUUCGUUUCUAUCCAGCUCAAUCAUAGACAUGUACUCAAAGUGCGGAUCUGUGGAUGAUGCCAGGGUGUUCUUCGAUCGGUUGAAGGCGAAAGAUGCGGUUUCAUGGACGGUGAUGAUCACCGGGUAUGCCGUCAACGGUCGUGGGAAAGAAGCUGUUGGGCUGUAUGACAAGAUGGGGAGGGAGGGGAUGGAACCUGAUGGAUUCACCUACCUUGGCCUACUGAUGGCAUGCGGCCAUGCUGGAAUGUUAGAAGAUGGAUUGUGUUUCUUCCAGGAGAUGAGAAACCUUCCCAAAAUUGAGGCAAAGCUAGAGCAUUAUGCUUGCGUUAUCGGCAUGCUGAGCCGAGCAGGGCGCUUUGCCGAUGCCGUGGCGCUUAUGGAGGUGAUGCCAGAGGAGCCUGAUGCCAAGAUACUGAGCUCCGUGCUCUCUGCCUGCCACAUGCAUGGAGAGGUAGAGUUGGGGAAGAAGGUUGCUGACAAGUUGCUUGAGCUUGAACCCCACAAGGCUGAGCACUAUGUUCUCGCCUCCAACAUGUACGCAGGAUCCAGGCAGUGGGAUGAGAUGAGGAAGGUGAGGAAGAUGCUCAGGGACGCCGGUGUCGCCAAGGAGCCAGGCUGCAGCUGGAUCGACAUUGCAGGCAAGGUGUACAGCUUCGUCGCCGGGGAGAAUUCACUCCCGGAGAUGCACAAGGUGAGGAAGAUGUGGUACUCUUUGGAGGAGAAGAUUCGCGCUGCCGGCUAUGCUCCUGACACCACGGUCAUGCUGCACGAGCUGGAGGAAGAAGAGAAGGUAGAGGCUCUGCGAUGGCACAGCGAGAAGCAGGCCAUCGCGUUCGGGUUGCUGAGGACAGCCGGGCCGACGAAGGUGAGGGUGUUCAAGAACAUCAGGAUGUGCAAGGAUUGCCACAAUGCCGCCAAGCUCAUCUCCAAGGUAGCAGACAGGGAGAUUGUGGUCCGGGACAAGAAGAGGUUUCACCAUUUCAGGGACGGGCUAUGUUCCUGUGGGGAUUACUGGUGAAUUAGAAGGGAAUGCAAAUUCUUUUGCAUUUAAACGUUGUACAGAAUUGUAAAAGGUAGAGUUCAGGAACAUGGUAUGCAAAGGGAUACAUCCAAAUUAGCAGCAAAACUGUUUUUGAACAUUCAAAAGAAAUUCCUUUGGUCCCGCUACACCAUUUACACUUGCUCCAGCACGAACCUACGAAUCAGAUGUGUUGUCUGGAAAUGCAUUGACAAUGUUUACUUCCAGAUAGCAAUUACACCAGCAUUUUAACAUCUAAGCUUUUACCCCCCAAAAAACAUCUAUGACUAUGUUACAUACGAUGGAAAGGCAGGUAAACUAAACAAACACACAAUACAAACUAUCAUUAUCGAUCCGAGCAUGCCUCAGAAAAAAGAGUUGUGCUGGCUCGAUCUCAAGUCUUGGCACUGCAUUAGAAAACUUGUAGGAGUUGCAUUUAUCAACACCAUCUCAUCCUAACUCAUUCAUCACUUCAUUGAGAUAGUCAUGACGGUGGGAUGUUUAUAACCAGAUGAUCUACAACCCAUCCUGCAAUUGGCAGUGACCCCCAGCUGGAUGAUCUACAACCCAUCCUGCAAUUGGCAGUGACCCCAGCUGGAUAAUGGUUCAAUUGUUCAGAUCCAAUAAAGAAUAAAGAAAUUCAGAAGCAUGUGCAUGCAUCUGGUAGAAGCGGUACUUUACAUGAUCCACUCAUACAUCUGUAGAUUUAUCAAAACCCGUUAGCAAGCUCAUCAAGUACAGAGAGAAAGAGGAGUGGGAGCUGGUGAGUCAAGAUGGGAGACUGAAGUUUGACAGCACUCACCUUCUUUAAGUUUGGAGCAGAGAAGCUCAGCUACAGAUUCUUCUACACUAGGUAUGGUCAAUAGUAGCAAUUCUUACUGGAAGCUUUGUACAUUGAAAUGUCAAGCCAGAGUGGUUACUGAACUCCUAGAUCAUUUGACAACUGCAAUAUCCCGCGCAUUUGAAGGUAUGGAUUCUCCAAAAGUUUUUCAUUGUUACACUGAAGACAACAUAAGUAGCAUCAGUGCCAAAUUAAUUUAUGAAGGGAAUUAAAUUUAUUAUCGAGCUUGAACUGCCUGAACAUAUCAGCACGAGGUAAUCUAGAUAACAGAUGCAUAUAAACAAGAUCCCUGUACCUUUCCAAAAAAAUUAAUUUAAAUUUCACCCUGAUGAGAUGAGAAAGGCAAGGAGCAUUACCUGUUGAGCCUUUGAAAUGAGACUUUGAAGCAUCCGUUGGUAGAUCUCUGGUUCUUCUGUCAUCAUCCUCUGUACAUCCAAAUUUCAUUAGCGAGAAGUGCAAUAGAACUAUCAGCAAGAAAUUAACAACUGCAACAGGCAUACCUUCAAAAGAAAAGCAGCAGAAUAAUAUGCUACCCUUGAGUCUGUAUCAUCUAGAAGCCCCCUAUUGGUGUUGGGUGGAGAAAGGACAAAUAUCAAGCAUUAGCUAUGCACGACACUUUAACCGACAAAGAUAUGCAGCUUAGAAUAGACUACCUGAAGAACUCAUUGCCUUCAACUUCCUUAAGUGCUUCCUGAUCCGCUGUGCAUUUCCCAAUCAAAAGCAAAAGAAGGGCCGCUCUAAUAUCUGAUGUAGCGCCAGGAAUAUUGCCUCUACCUGUGCUACCGACAGCAAUACCCAAUGCAAUAUCAUCACUGGCAGCACCUUCAAGUUGCAUCAAUGGCCAGAAAAACAAUGAAGUUGGUACACAGGUUACAAGCUGCAUCGGAGCUAUUGCAAGACCUCUCAGAAGUAGUGCUGCCAUUGAUGUUUCACACAACAAAGUGGAUUGAUUAUUCAUGCUUAUAUCUUGCAAUGUCUCAUUCCUGCAAAGGUUCUUGGUUCCUGUAUUUUGGUGCGAUGCAAGGGUUUCCAAAGGGCUCUCAAUGUUCUUAGUUGUACAACCAAAAAGUUGACCAAGGGAUUGAAGGCCUCCCAGUUGUAUCACAUUCGUGGACGGAAGCCUCAGACAUAAUUGUGAAAACAACAUGUCACACAUCUGUAUGAGGAAAGUUCAAAUUAGAGAGGAUUAAAUCAUAAAGCUCAAGAGUACUACUGGUUGAUAUAGACACGUCAUUCCACAUCCAACAUGGGAUCCAAGAGGUAAACAACUACCUUCAGAACUUAAACUGGCUGUAGAACAACUUGCUUUUAGCAGUUAAACUGGACAUUCAGUUUUUAAUCAGGGGAGUCAGGUACAAAAUUAAUUUCAGUUUUUGCAGGUAGAAAUUGAAACUUAGAAGCCUAUGCUUUGUUUCAGUUGCCUACGAAUAUCAACAAUGAGAUCUUUCUAAGAAUCCGCCAUCAAGUUCUAGCAUGCAAGAAUAUUGACACUAACACACUAAUCCUUAUUGCUAAACGGAAUAAGCACAACGACCAAGCAGGUUCAUUGCUGUCAAUGAUUACAGAUGUCCACCCCAUUAAAAACUAAGAAAGGCUGCCGGUCAGUAACAAGUUCACAACAGAAAGCAACAUGCCAGCCUGACAGCAGAAACUGCUAACUGGGAACUUUAUGGGUCGUAAUCAGUAACAAGGAAUUGUCAACAAUGAGAAAAAAUUACGAUGUUACUAGUUUUUUUCUAAAUAUAAAUAUACCAUACAUUGCCUCUUGCAAACUUUUAGUUGUGAACUUUCACUUUUUUAAGGCAACUUUAAAAUAAACAAUUAAGGGUAGCUUGAAGCACAUACGCCAAAUGCCUGCUGCACUUGGGUGAAAGAAAUUCACCUUUAAGAUGUUGAUAUGGUCUGUCUCAUUAUUUUGAACCACGAGUAACAAAGCACUACUCAUAAUAUCUAUAACCACAAAAGCUUUGUCCAGACGAUUUUUGCUAUGAUAAGCAACUGAUUGAUCUUGCAUGUCACUGUCAUCCAAUAAUAAUUUGCAGCGCAUCAGAAAUUUCUCUAAAACAUAAAGAAAUCCCCAUCUAAUGAAGUUGUGUUUUGAUUUCAGAAGCCCACAUAGCAGACAAACGGGCAGUGAAACUUCUGAACAUGAUACGUCUUGGCUGCCAGCCACUUUAAUUUCCACUUGGAGCUUUUGGACUUUAGACCAGAUAGAGCCAUCUGUUUCUUCACUAAUUUCCGAGAGGAGCAAUUCAACUAACCAAAUAUAUCCAUGGUGCCUAUAUGAUGAGAUUUGUGAGUGAAGAAGCGAGUGCAAAGUAGCCCAGCAAAGCCUUGCUCUAUGUGCAAGAUCACCAUCUUCACUUCCCUCUUUAAUGCUGCUGAAACACUUGAAGGAUUUUGUUACUUGGAUCAUGUAAGUAAACUCAUUGUCAAUCCUUGAAAAUGUGCUGACAGUUGCAUCAAUUUUCCCGAUAACCUUUUCUAGAAGCUACAAGUAUUGAAUUUUUUUAUCAGAACAAACACAGUAUUUCAAAGCGAAUAUCAACGUAUAUUGCCGUGGUUCGAGACGAAAACAUAUACUGCAGUUUUUAUCAUGAAAUGAAGUCAAAUGAACAUACUAAGUGUGAAUAGCAGAAUGUUGCACGAUCUACUCGGUUAAUUAAAUUAACAAUGGGGAUUCUUGGUGAUGACUACCGCAUGUUUAUGUGCACGCGUACAGACCUCAGUUGAGAUACACAUUAUAGAGUUGAUUACUGGAGCCCUCAAUGUUGUGGAUGCAACUUACAAGCAAUGCACAAGUUCAAACAUGUUUUCAUAGUUAAUUUAUUUGGUAUUAGGUGUUGAUACUCUUUUGUAUAAACUUGGUCAAACAUAAAAAAAGUUUGGCUUCGAACAAAAAUUAUAUGAUUUAUAUUGUGGGAAGGAGGGAGCAACUAUCUACUCUUAGCUUCAUAAAGAGCUGGUUGUGCUCAAUCCACAUUUAUCACAUACUAGUACCAUAUAGUAACAUAUAGUCAAAGGCAUAUUACCACAUUUAAUUGCUCGUAUUCUGCUGACUGUGAUAAUGCCGCAGAUAUAGCUUUUGUCAGCAUGUCCCCAACACCUUCAACGCCAUGCUUCACGGAUAUAUAGAAUGCCUCUGGGGCAUCAGCAGAUGCAAGAAGGGAGGCGAGGGGCUGAGCAUCAUCAUAAGUAUAUGUUGAAAGACUGCCAGCCAAGCAUGUUUCAUUUAUCUGAUGCAGUACGUAAUCAAAAAGGACAAAGAACAAAUCCCGCUUCUCUUCUGCUGAGUUAGCUCGUGAAUACUGUAAAUGACCAGAAAUUGCAUUUAUUAAUAACUAGACAUAAUAUUGUGGAAAUGCCCAUCCUGCUAUCCACAUAAGGGUCACUAGAUGCAGAAACAUUUGUUAUUUCACGAAAAAAUUCCUAUCUAUGUUGAGCUAUUGCCUGAGGUUUGAGGAGCUUGGAACAAUGGACAGCACAGCAUGCUGAACUGGGGUUCCGAUUGCAUAUGGUUGCAGUCAGCAAUCGCAACCAGGAUAGUCAAUCCUGUCCAUUCCGGACGUUUGACCAGAAAUUGAGACAAACCAAUGUUGUAUUUGGCCUCUCAUUUUAUGGAACAGAAUGGGAUAUUCCAGAUAGUACUGGAAUGGGAUAGAUAAGGUUAGCUAGCUAGGACAUGACAGUGAUGCGCUAGUGGAGACUGACAAUUGAACAGGUGAUCCAUAUUCCUAUGGAUCUUCGGGUCUAUUGUUCACUUGUACUUUCUGCACAACUGAGAUAGCAAGAUGAUAAUAUGUUACAGUAGAAUAGACAAAGUGCUCAGCUGUCAACAUCCAUGCAUGAAACAGCAAAAUCCAACUAAAUAUAAGGGUAAUACCUCAAGACAGAUAUAGUCAACUCCACCAAGAAGAUCUAUCCGUUCUGGAGCAAACUGUGUAUCAAGGGCACUGCUCUGAGUUUCAUCUGUUACUUGGUACAGCAUAUUUGUCAGCAUGCAAAUGAGCUUACUGUGCACUACUUUUGCCCAUGAAUGUUCCACACUAAUCUCAAGAAGAGUUUUAACAACCUGCUCAUGAUUAAAAAAAAAAAGGCAAAUAAGUUCUCAGGCCCUUGUGAGCAAGAAAUAGCACAAUUUACAUCUUUUAGAAACCUUUCGCAGACCGAGAUCAAACUGGCUUAUCAUAUGUCAAAUAUAUGAGAAAAAACCUGACUACAUGCAUCAAAGCCAUAAAGAAGCAGAAGAAGCAGUCCAAGUGCAUUUCACAGCCUGCUAUGGCAGAAAAAUCUUAUGCUGGAAGCCUGGAAUACCAUUCUACACCAAGAUAUCAGAAACACGUCAACAAGACGACGACAACAAUAGCAAUAAUCUACUAAAACCUGUAAUUCAGUAACGCUGCUAGUUGUUGUUUUCAUUUUUCAUUAAUACAUUUGCGUAAUACACAAAUACUCCCUCCGAUCCAUAAUAAGUGUCUCAGAUUUUGUACUAACUUAGUACAAAGUUGUACUCCCUCCGUCCCAUAUUAAGUGACGGAAUAUUACAUGUAUCUAGACGCUUUUUGGGUAUAGAUACAUCCAUAUUUGGGCAAAUUUGAGUCACUUCAUAUGGGAAGGAGGGAGUACUAAAUCUGAUACACUUAUUAUGGAUUGGAGGGAGUAGUGGAAAACAAAAGUGUACGUGUAUUGUCUAGUAAGCUGAAAUUCAUAGUGCUCAACUGAUAUAUGUUUAGCUUGAAUGAGACAUAAAAUGUGUACAGUUUGAACUACAACUCCAAUAUUCACCAUACCAAUCUUCAGCACUUAACUUCUAUAUAGUCCAAAGGCACGUGAAUAACAGGAUUGAAAAAAUGGGAACAGAUAGAGUCCAAGCACACUGUUCAAGAGAAUGAGUACAUAAACUCAUAAAGAAAGAUGUGUUUCUUUACCCUUAUGUCCAAACCUCCAAGUCUGCUCCGGAUGAUUUUCCCUCCAUCGCAAACAAAGUAAAACAGACAACUUAAAGCUGAUGCCCAUACUAUCUCUUGUCGCUCUUCCAUCUACAAAACCAAGAAGAUCAUAUAAAGCUAUCAUAUGUAUCAGCCUAGCAUAAAUAGGAGCUGUCAGUGAAGAACUUAAAGAUGUAGAAAAAUAUUAGAGGCCUAAAUGAAUACGAAAUUCAAUAUUCUAACCACCUGAACUAAGAGAAGAAGAACUUCAAAUAGUAUUUUCAGAAGCCAGGACUCAAACUGAUCGAUAGCAGGGCUAAACUGAUCGAUAGCAGGGCUAAUCCUCUGCUCUUCUUCAGGUUCUGCUGCCUUCUGUUCAUCCAUACUUGGUCCGUACUCGUUCAGAUAAGAGUUAUUUGCAGUUUCACCUUUUUCAACAGGUGGUGCGUUAUAAACUAUCAUAGGCUCCAGCAGGUGCGCAUGAAUCCCAAGGUUUAGAAUAAGAUCAAAAGCCUUUGUUCUUGCAGGCGAUUUUUGAGAGCUCAGCAUACCCUGGAACAUAAAAAAAUAUUAGAAAUAUUUCACAUGUUCCUUUUUGGGAUGCAUACAUGUAAAGAGUAUAACACCUCGAGCAUAUAAAGUGUCAGAGGAGCUGCAGCCUCAGGAUCCAUCAUAUACCUGAACCAAACAAAACAUAAUCAUUAAAACACAAAACAACUGUAGUUCUAUGGUUUCAAAGGUAGUUUUAGCACCAAAUCGAGAUAAGUAUAGUUUCUACGAUUUUGAGAAAAACAUUUGCUCACAUGUCACAUCUUGCAAGAAUUGUACUUUGAUGCAUAAACCUCUGCACCAUUACAAUGUAACUAAAUUACUGGAACCACUUAUUUUGGUAAAAAGAACUAUGGUAAACAUGGAAAUCUUUAGUACACAUACAUCAGCCCAAAAAUAGAAGUUAAUAAUUACAAAAGCAAAGCAUCGAGCAAGCUGACAACACAAGAAAAAAAACACAUGCUUAUACGAUAAAAUAAAUAGCAGAACAAUAUGCAAUUCAGACAAAUAAGAAUAACAUGGCAGAUCAUGUCACUUAGAGAUUUAUGUAUUAAACUAUACUAUCAGUUCACAAUGGUUCGUGAGGCCUGAAAUCUGCAGUAAUAAGAGUACUACCUCUAAUGGAAGCAAACAGCAGAUUAAAAAAUAACGAAAAUAUGCCAACACAAUUCCAGGGGAAAAAAAAUCUUGAGAGCAUUCAUCAAUCUGUGAACUGGACAAAGAAUGAAAAAGGGUGUAAGAUUAUAUACAUGUCAAUGACGAGUUUAAUGAGGACACUGAACGCCACAUCCGCUGAAGGUUGCCGGCUCUGGGUGGUCAAUCUUGAUGGAGCAUUGAACUGAUUUGCAUUUGAAGUUAUUUCUGAACAAACUUCAGCUAUGACUUCAGAUAUUUCAGCAGGGUUCAAUCUUAAGGGUUGCUGCUCACUAUUGAACAAAGGUACCACAAUGAGCAGCCAAUGCAUGUAAGCACAUUGUUAGACAUGAUCGUAAGUUCGUAACACAUUCAUAAACACGUGAAACUCAAGCUGAAUCAUGGUAUCCCUACUAUCUAGCUAACACUAGUACUAAAUGGUUUCACUGGGGCUUAUUGUAUGACGUACUAUAAAUGGACAAAUGUUUCACAGAUGGAAAAUGAGAGUUAUGUGACAAAAUACAAUUUUGAAUUUCUAUACUGCCUUGUUAACGAAGUACAGAUUAUUGUCAGAGCCCCAUCACCAUCAAAAUGCAUGUCUAGCUAUUUUUUUUCUUCUUUCUCUAUAUCAUGGUUGUGAUGGUAGAAAAUUGGUUCAGCCAUAAUUAACUCAGGAUAUUUCAAGUUCAGUGAUGCAACGAUGAUUUUACAAAGUACAUUUACACUUCAAUAUAUACAGUCCUGUACAAAAUGCUAUGCUAGAUCCUAGAUUAUAUGCAAAGUAAAUAAAUGAAAUAAGGAAAUACCUGUAGUGCCUAUACUGAAAAAGGGGGCGUGCUCGAGGCUGGUAUGUGUUUGCAGGUAUGUUCAUCCUACAAAAGAGUAGAUUUUUCCCCAUGUAAGACCUUUUCUAUUCAUUUUAUUAAUCUCAAUAAUUUAACAGCUUCGCAAUAAUGACUUUGUUCAUAAUGAUAUGUCAACACAGACAAAAAAGUUUUUCUCAAAAUACAAAUUUCAUCAAGUUCACAACUAGAAAUAUCGACUACACUAAUGGGAAGAAAAUUUUCAUAUGAGCAAACUUUGAACAGCAUUUUAAAAGUCAAGAUAACCUUCUCAAAAAAACUGGAAAGGAAAAGGGACAGGGAAGGGAAGGAGGAAUGUGUUUGAAGCAUGCAAGGAAACCUAUGCUAUCAUCACAACUUAGUAUCGGUAUACAUGAACAAAAAAACGUACCAAACUUGACUUGGGCCCGAUUUCAUGCGUUUUGAGGCGGUUAUUGCUUUCAAAUGACCCUGUGAUGAAGCAUAAGUACUAGCUGUAGAAGUUGAAGGUUGCAACAAAUCAAUAUCGGGAAAUUCCUGGAUAACAGAAUAUUUCCAUUGUUGAUCAUUGAUCUUUGCCUCCAUAUCUCCUACUAGAAGGGCUGCAGCACCAACUUCAAGAAAACCCUGUGUAUGAAAAUCUUGAAGGCCUGCAAACUCAUUGCUGGUGAUAAAGGAAACAAACAAUGCAGUCAGUGUUUGCAAGACUAUUAGUAUCAUACUUCUAAAUUCCAUUCCAGCCAGAAUGACUGGGAUGCUUCAUUCCAGCCAGAGUGACAAGAAAACCCAUACAAAACACUGACCUUAAACAAUAAGCACAAGAGAAAUACCUUUCUUUGGCAGAAUUCGAUGCUUGUCGUUCACCAUGUACAUGCCAUCGCCAGUUUAAAAUGUCAAAGGAUAUAUACUUGAUAUCAUACCCAUGCUCUCCCCCAUCAACCUUUUCGCUUGCUGAUGAUAUUAAAUCGGAAGGAGUAUGGCUUUCCUUUGAUUCAAGAUGUUCUCUGUUGGUAAUAACUUCUGGAGUCAACUGAGACACUAAGGACUUAUUCAAAAAUGACGAAAGUGAAGGAAGUGAUUGUUUUGUAGGAUUUGAUAUAACGGAUUGAGGGAAUGACAGCUUUGGAAUAUGCCUUGCAACUAACAAGCGGACAUAGUUUAAAGAUUUCACAAGAGACGCGGAAGCAAAGUUUGAUAUUGGUGGGGCAGCAUGAGAGGAAUUUGGCAAAGCCGCUGAUGAUACAAGAGUCUGGCCAAAUGAUGAUGUUCUGUGACUUGCCACCGGGUCAUACUUUACUAUUGUAUUUGCACAAAAGAGAUCGAUCUGACGUAGUGUCUGCACCCUUGGAAUAUACCUUGGAAUGCAAAAUUGUAUAGUGUAUUAGUGUUAGUGCAAGCAAUUUUCGAGAAGAAGUACAGUACUCUGGCAAGGGACACUCCGCUUACCUAAUAAGAUAUCUCUUUAACAAUGCCACACAUCUUGGGACAACCGCUGGGCUGGUUGAAAACAUUGUCCAUGUUAGGAAAAGGAGUAAAAUCAUACAUAUUCUAUUUUAAGAAGCACCAUAGAAAAUGCAGAUCAAAGAGUCAAGAUGCACCAAUAAAUUGUGAAUAAUUUCCCUCUCCGAUUUCUAUUAAAGAAACCAGGGUUCUACAUGAGAAUAAUUCCAAGUAUUCCAUAUUUUCAUUCGUUUUGAUUAUGCCAUAGAGGAACAAGCAAAAUAAUUGGAGCUUAUGACUUACGACACAAGGCUAGAUAAGUUUCUUAAGAAUAAUGCAGGAGCUACAUAUAAUCCACAUAAGCGCAAUAUGGUGGACAAUCAAAAGGUAUUCCCCCCUUCUAACUUAAAAUGGAGGGGGUGGGGGGGGGGGGGGGGAGGUAGAAAAGGCAUUGAAAUAUCAAAGCUGAAAGCAUACCUGCGAUCUCUUUCUGCAACAGCAUGGUCAAUCAGGACAUUGUAAGCCAUAUCAAUGGUUGAUAGAUUGGCUAUAUAAUCCUGCCAGUAUAUGAUCACCUCAUUAAGAAAUGGCAUAUGUACGAAAUGACUUGACGUAUACCAAGUAAAAAGAAUACUAGUGAAUUAGAAAACUUUGUUUGUGUCCAACGCUUACAACACAGACAGCUGUAACAGACAAAGCAGAGAACCUAAAUAUGCUGGGCAGUGAUGGAUCAUAACGGAUAUACCAAACAAUUAAUAAAGCGAGCGACAAAGCAGCGAUACUAACAUAUGGUAAGAAGAAUGUAAUUAAGAAUGAGAAUUGAUAAAUAAAAUGUCCAAAUGCUGAUAAUCGUAACGUAUAAACUGCCUUUACCUUGCAUCUUCAUUAUCGUUUCACUGGAAGGAGAUGGUAAGGUUUAAUCCACCACCAAAAUAGGCCAUAACAGCCUGUUAGUAGCCUUAAAUAAACGACACGUGUUCCGUUCACGGAUCAUGCAGCCAUAAAUACAAGAAUUGGUCAAUGAGUACGCGACAAGUUCCGUAAUGACGCCCCCUGGGCAAGGAUUGUCUCUUAGCGCCACUGAAAUAAGCUGGGGUCACGUUUCAAAUUACUAGACCUAUAGAUGCAAAUUCUGCGUGUUGUUCGAUGGAUUUAUGCGGCGUAGCACUGGCAUCGCACACGGCAAAGCAAAUUGAGGAGCUCCAUAGGGCGCCGGUGACUCGGCGAUGUAUCUCAGGGCAGCAAACAGCGGCGAGCAUUGCCAAAUCAAACCAUUUGCAGCUUGCUUGACGUGAUCCGGAGCUAUGUAGGCGGGGCAUUGCAGGCGUGCGAGGGGCUAAAACGAAUGUUGACAGGAUUUAAAGGGAGACCGGGAGGGAGGGAGGGACUGACCCGUAGAGUCCGGGACGCCUCGGUGGCGGCGGAGGCGGCGGCGGCGGGCGGGCCGUGGGUGUGCGGCGCGGGCGGGGAGAGGCAGUCGGCGACGGCCCUGCGGAGCGGCUCGGGCGGCUUCCGCGCGGAGGUGACGCCGGAGAAGGACGGCGCGGUGGACAUGGACCGCGGCGGCCGCUGCGGGGGCACCACGGAAGCGGCGGCGGCCGCCAACGCCGCCGCCGACGACGACCCCGCCACCCCCGCGUCGUAGUAGUGGCGGCUGCUGCUGCUGCUGCCGGCGGCGGCAGCGGCGGCGGUGGCAGCGGCCCGCUUGGACGGCGCGUCGCGGCGCCGCAUCCUUCUGCGGAGGCCCGUGACAGCAGGUGGCGAGAUCUCCUCCGAUGGGUCUGGUGGCAAACCCUAGGCAGGCAGGGCAGGGCAGUCCUCGGCGUCGCCAGUCAGUCCGCGCGGAGGAGCAUUCGGGAGAGCCAGCCAGUCGUCUCUGGCCUCUCCUGCAGGGAUCAGGGUGCAGGGAUCGUUCCUUCUUCUCGGGUGGCUGGUCGUCUGGGGAAGAAGAAGAAGAAGGCCUCUCCUGCAGUCUGUGGGCUAGCUCCCUCCUAGCUGGUUGCCUGGUUUGCCAGAAUUUUAUUUAUGUUUGUGAAAACCAGCUCUAAAGAACAAAACAAGAAAAAAAUGGUUUUUAUCUUUAUCGAAAAUUGACGUAUUUUGUUUCGUUAGAACAAGCAUGUCUUAACAAAACAAAAGGAGGGAGCAGUAGUAUUAUACUCCUUCCUUCUAAAAAGGCUUUGACCAAUAAUAAUUCAUUAGUAUGUCAUCUGUAUGAUAAGAAACCACGUUUAUCAGGAAGAACUUGAUGACAAAUUUAAUGUGUUAAAAACACAUGUUGAUAAAAUAAUCCUUGGUCAAAACGUUUUUUUCCAAACGGAACCAAACAUCCAAACCUUUGUGAAAAGGAGAGAGUAUUAUCCAAAAUGAAAAUUUUCAGUUUCAGAUUCUUGCCCACUGAAAAUUUGCCCCACUUAACUUUUUUAUCCAUCUAUUGUUAUACAUACUUACCACAGUAUAUACCCAAGCCACUGAGAUGCUAUAUACUUUCCGUUGUUAAACACAUACACUAUAUGGUACUACAUGUUGUCAUUGUGUCCGUCAUGUUGUACGUACAUAGUGGUUUUAUUUAUCUCUCAUCAUGGUAGCAUUAGAGGUUUGUUCUUCCAUUUAAGAUUGAUAUCCGUUUUUUAUUUGAUUUCUAGUAGUUGCGAAAAUGUUCUAACGGGCCAGCCAUCCUAUAUAAUAUAGCCCGCUCGGCCCACGGACCUGCUUCCCAUCGAACCCGAGACGGCCCAUAACCCAAUAAACUAUCCUACCCGUGGUCGCAGUCUAUAGACAGCCUGCCCGACUCUGACGUCUGCUCCUCUUAUCCCGCUCUGGCCAAGGCCGUGCGAGCAGUGGCUGCCAAGGGCCUCUUCCUUGGGGCUCUGUGUUGCAUUCGUGGCUCCGUUUGCCAAUUAAGGAUACAUAUACUAGGUUUGUAGGAAUGCAAAACAUAUGAAUAGGAAAAAUCGUAUGAAUAGAAUAGAAAACCAUACGCAAAAGUGAGAAUUGAAAAACAGAAUCGGCGGCUCCAGAUGCUGUGAUCGCCGUCAGCCAGGGAGGCAACUCUGGAUGGACGUACGAGGAGAUGGCAUAUAUAUUCCGAUGCGGCGGAGACAGUGGACAUGAACUCCACAUCCCGCUGGCGACCAAGAUUUUGUUGGGAAUAUGCCCUAGAAGCAAUCAUGUAUGAUGUAAUUCCCAAUGUAUUCAUAAAUAUUAUUAAGUUGUCCUUGUUUGAACAUCUGAUAUGUAUCAUUGAAUAUGUGAUUUGAUUGUGGAACUAUGUAUUCAUGUUGUUCAUACUAAAUUGUCCUUAGUCAUUGAGGUUGUGCUGGACACAUAACCUAGACUAAUGUGAAAGUUGGCUGAUGACUCGGUUUCACUUGUCAUGGGCAUGGUGAUGUCAUUCCAGCUUACACGGACUCGGCUAAAGAGUUUAGCGAGUUGGACUGACCCAUAUUGAGAUGCAACGAGUAGGUCGUCAUUUGCAUGUCUCAAUCAAUGUAAUCCUUAGACCUGAGGUUAUCGCACAAUCCGAGUUGUGGAUCACCAACUUAGGUUCUGUCAAACGUUGUUCCGUAACAGGGCAGUUAUAAAGGCAGAGUUCGGGUUGACUGAGAAUCAAGCUGUGUGAUGUGGAUAACCAAGAUGGGAUUUUGCCCCUCCGACUGGAGAGAUAUUCUCUGGGCCCUCUCGAGUGAUAUGAUUCGGGAAGCAUGGCCAUGCGCGACUUGGUUAACUGUUAACCGGGUCGAUCGACUAAGAGUUAGUCGGAUGAAUCGUAUAUCACAGAUCGAGAAGAGAGUUGAACUAUUAAAGGGAUGACGAUUAAUCGCCUAUAGUUCGACAAGGUAUAUCGUGAGGCAAAAGGGACUAAGACGUAUGUCACAUUGGAAGGUACGUCGUCAUGACUCGAUGGUACUUGGGAGUCGGCACGUUCUGCUAGGAGCCGCUACCGAUUGAUCGAUUGUGAGUCAGACUCCAAUCGUGUCCAAGUCGCCAUGAGCCUGCGGGGUCACACACUUAAGAGCGGGAGCAAGUAUUUGGUCGGGUUGGACCCGAACUGGAAUUGGGCUGACAAUGCGAGUUGGACUCGCAGGGUGGAUGGGCCACAAGGCUUGGAGCCCACUUCCACUCGAUAUAUAAGCAGGGGCGUGGGAUGCCUAAGGGGCACGGUUUUUCCACUCUCAUGCGUUGAGAACCCUAGCCCGAUUCAGUUCAACCGUCGCACCGGACCUAGCAGUUCGCCGCCGGAGCUCCUCCUCGCACGUGUGGAUACCGGCAGAGGUGUUGUACGUUCAGCACUUCGACGAUCGCGGGAUUGGAUCGGCUGGAUCGGAUCGAGGGACUGCACUGCAUCAAGGCGCCGCAUCAAUAAUCUGCAACUGCGCGUCUAGUGGUAAUCCUCGUGGCCUUCUACCUCGGCUAGAUCUUGGGAGUUCGCGUAGGAAAAGUUUUUUGUUUAUCUCUACGCGCCCGUUCAGAUUUCUGUAGCGCUCUCCCUCCCUCUCCAUUCUCCUCCUGAUUCCUCUGUUGAAUCCCUCCGUCCCCUUGACAUUCCUCUUACCAAUCACUAAGAUCGUUUCUGCGUACCGAUUUGUCUGUGCGUCUUUUUUUUCCAAUCCUGCAUGCUUGCUUGCUUAAGUUUCGCGUGACUUCUUGUUUGCAGUUGACAGUUUGCCGUGUCAUGGGUUAAUGUUGCUGCUGUUUGAGACGCCCUCUGGCUUCGCACUUUACACGUUUUAUGGGGCUUCCUAUAUAUGGCUUUGGAUGUAAUGUUCUUCUUUCUAACCUUUGUCAACCAUGUCCUUGCUUGUUCAUGUGGUCUACGCCAAUGACCUAAUUUUCUAUUCCAUCAUUUGUCUCCUACAGAAUCUCUGGUUAGGUUUUGGAGACCCCCACCUGGCAAGGAUGGUUAGUUCCAACGACUUUCCUUGCUUUCCCUUCUGAUUGCUAUUGUUAUCUUAUAUGCUUGUUGUUAAAUUCCAUCUUUGCAUUAAGGGAGAAUAUGAACUCGUGCUCUUUGUUUACUAAUAGCCUCAAAACACAUUUUCUCCCCAAUUCUAAGCAUGCAGCAUGAUGCUAGUUUCGCUGAAAGGUUCAAGGAUUCUAAAUAAUCAAUCAAUGCAAUCCAGAGACGUGCAUGAUAAUUAAUUCCUUAAAUGUUUCUUUGUGCCCAUGAACAUGCUUGCUGCUAUUUCUUUAUCAGGCGGUUCAUCCGAAGGGAUUUCUAUCUUUUGAGGACAAAUCCAGCGCCAUCAAUGCUGAUACUGGUCUUGACAACCAGCUUGUUGCUCUGAUCAACGACUAAAGAGGACCGCUUACCAACGAGUCAAGGACUAAUGAAGUUCCUGAGUAAUCGUGGAUUUGAUGUCAAACUAGAGAUGGUGAGUUCACUAGUUGGACUUGACAUGCUUUCUGAUUUAUAGUUCCCUGCUAUUUAGUAUUAGUUUAUGUUGACAAAUUAGGUAAUUUCGAUGAAUAUUUAAUCCAGAAGGACAGUGUGUAAAACAUGUAGCACAUUAUAUCAUGCAAACUAGACAAAUUAAAUAGCAACACACAGCAAUAAAACUCAUCUAAUUUCACGGCAUGAAUAAUAGAACUACUAAUCAAAAUCAACAAGAAAGAGCAGAUUACGUACGGUGCUGUGCUCUUUUCUUGUGUUUGUUUGUUGAGGUCGGUGACGAGUCCGGUGGCGUCGAUGUUCAUGCCGGCAGCAGCAGCAGCCUUGACUACCUCCUGAGCAACGGCCAGUGCCUGCGCUUGCGCCUGUGCAGCAGUUGCCUGGGCUUGAAGUUGGGCAGCCUGCUGCUGUGCUUGGAGUUGUGCAGCCUGCUGCUGCUGAGCUAGAGCGGCAGCCUGAGCCGCGGGAUCUCCGAGGUCGUCGGCCAUUGGUGAUGAAGAUGCCGAUGAAACAGAAACGUGAAGAAGCGAGCAGUCCCGUGAGAACGCUCCCCAAAAACCUUAUCGACCGUCUCCCGGGCAGGAUCUCGAAGGUCGGGGUUCCGGAGGCCUGCUCUCCCGGCGAUCUGUGCACGCAGUCGACGGGAUGGAGUAGCAGUUGGCGGCGAACAACGAGAUUGGAUCGUGGGCGUGACGGCUAGGGGUUUUUUUGCGUCGUUUUUCCGGAGGCCGGGGUAGUCUUAUUAUAUAGGCAUGCAGGCGGACUUCGGUUCGGUUUAGGAAACCAAAACCGACUCCGCAAUUAUCGGGAUUUGUUACGCGUCCGCAACGGAUUCCGACUGCCAAAAAGAUAAGCACGACCCGGGACGGCUCGGGCUCGGGCUCGAUCCACGAAACGCGGCGCGCGCGCGUCGUGACGAGGCGAGGCGAGCGGAGGAGGAGGAGCGCGCGUAGGGAUUUCCCUUGCUCACUUGCUCAAGAGGUGAGAACCAACAUACCUUAUAUAUUGGUCCAACUCCCCCUAAACUAGCAAUGUGGGACUAUUCCCACUUCCUCAUCCCACUACAUGAAUGGGCUUUUGAGAUUUUUCAGAAAUUAAUUUCAGAUUGGUCCUUGGGCCUAACCCAAAAUUCCAAUAAUCCCCCACAAUAUCUCAUAAGCACAUAAAAUUGCCGUUGAUCCAAAACUCUGUUUUUGAUAUACCAGCGUUUCAGUGGAGACCGGUUAAGGUUGAACAUCUACCUAAACAAAUUGCUUCACUCACGCACAACUGAACAAUGGACAAACCUUGAAUUUUCAGUUUUCUAUGUUAGAGCUUCACUAAAUUGUUGUCUGGUACUGGGCUGCCGAAUGCUACCCCGCAGUGUGGAGCAUACAAGUCAUUCUCCAGGCCUUUUCAUGAGCUUACUAGAGACCACCCAAAUCUCAUAGACUGCGACCAACAGUCAGGCUCAUAUAGGUGUGUUAUUUAGAGACUACUCUGUAGGAUAGUAUCUCCCUUGCAAAUUAAUGCAACGCGUUAGAACACAUUAAGUUAAACAACCUACCAUACAGUACACGAGAGUAAUGCAUCGUCAACGAAGUGGGAUAAAGAAUGUACACUCUCCUCAGUUAUCCAAUGACUUGUUUCCCAGGUCCUAAUUCACGGGAUCUCCGAUCACAUAGGUUGGUUUACCGCCAUGGUAACUCACGUGGGUCGCAAUCCCAUCUCCCUUGAUGCAGAUUCUAUCACAUUUCUUGAUAGACCCUUUGUAAAGGGAUCUGCCAGAUUUUUAGCCGUUGGGAUAUAUCCCAAUGCUAUUAUUCCGGAGUUUCUCAUUGCUCUGACAGAUUUCAGACGUCUCCUGACGUGUCUUGAUGACUUCAUAUUAUCUUUAGAACUGUUCACUUUGACUAUCACAGUUUGAUUGUCACAGUUCAUAAGAAUCGCCGGUAUUGGUUUUUCAACAAUCGGCAAGUCCAUCAAGAGCUCACGAAGCCAGUCGGCUUCAACUGUGGAUGUAUCUAAUGCUGAAAGUUCUGCUUCCAUUGUUGAUCUGGUUAAGAUCGUUUGCUUGCAAGACUUCCAUGAAACAGCGCCCCCUCCGAGUGUGAACACAUAUCCACUCGUGGCCUUUAGCUCGUCAACAUCAGAUAUCCAGUUUGAAUCACUAUAACCCUCAAGUACCUUGGGGUACCCAGUAUAGUAUAUACCAUAGCCCAUUGUGCCCUUUACAUAGCGCAUGACCCUCUCGAGUGUUGGGUUCGUUGCAUAGGAAACAAAAAAUUUCCUACGAGAAGUGCGGAAGAAAACCCAAGAAUAUAUAUACUAGAUGUAUGCAACGAGAGGGAUCAUGAACACCAUACCCUCGUAGACCGCUAAGCGUUACGAUCACGAGAUCGUUGUUGGUGUAGUGGAACUUUCAAUGAGAUUAAUCUCAGUGCCGAACGGACAGCACCUCCUUGGUAUCCACACGUUCAGCUUCACGUCGUCUCUUCCUUUCCUUGAUCGAGCAAGCGAGAGGGAGAGGUAGAUGAGAUCCCGGCAGCACGACGGCGUGGUGACUAUGGUGAAUAUCCCCACGGGCCGUGCACGUGAGAAGAGGAGGAGAGGAGGGCUCAGGGGAGAGAGAUCCAACUGAACGCUUGGUGUAUGCUCCCCCUUGCCACCCCCCCUCUAUUUAUAUAGGGGUAGGGGAGGGGGUGGCCGGCCAGAUCUGCCCCCCUUUCCAAAAGGGGGCUGGCGGCUAGGGGAGGGAAACCCUAAUAGGGUUUCCUCCCCCCCCAAGUUACCCUUUAGCCCUAGGGUGGGCUGGCCGCAUGGGCCUUGUGGGGGGCAGCCCCCUGGCCCAUUAAGGCCAGGGUACUCCCUCACAAGCCCAUGUAGCCCAGGGAUAGGUGGGCCUCAAGGUGGAAACCCCCGGAUCCCUCCGGAACCUUCUAGAAGCUUCCCGGUCAAAAACCGGAAAAUAUUCCGAACUUUCCGGAACCUGAAAACAACUUUCCAUAUAUAAAUCUUUAUCUCCGGAACAUUCUGGAGCUCCUCGUUACGUCUUGGAUCCCAUCCAAGACUCCGAAUCAUAAUUCGAUAUCAUCAUCAUUUAUCUCAUCUAACCCAAGCAACAUGAAACGUUAAGUGUGUGACCCUACGGGUUCGAGAACAUGUGGACAUGAUCAAAUAUCAAUAACCAAUAGUGGGACCUGGAUGUCCAUAAUGGUUCCCACAUAUUCCACGAAGAUCUCAUCGGUUGAACCACUAUGUCGAGGAUUCAAUUAAUCCAGUAUCCAAUUCUCUUUGUCUCGCGAUAUAUUACUUGCCCGAGAUUUGAUCGUCGGUAUCGCCAUACCUAGUUUAAUCUCGUUACCGGCAAGUUCUCUUUACUCAUUCCGUAAUAUAAUACCCCCGCGACUAAACAUAUUAGUCGCAUGCUUGCAAGCUCAUUAGGAUGUUAUAUUACCGAGAGGGCCCAAAGAUAUCUCUCCGUCACAAGGAGUGACAAAUCCCAGUCUUGAUCCAUACAACCCAACAAGCACCUUCUGAGAUAUCUGAAAAACACCUUUAUGAUCACCCAGUUACGAGAUGACAGUUGAUGCCCACAAAGUAUUCUUCCGGUACUAGGGAGUGGCAUGAUCUCAUGGUCUAAGGAAAUGAUACUUGACAUAAUAAAACAUAAGCAAUUUAAACUUAAGUGACACGAUCAAAAGCUAUGUUUAGCUUUGGGUCUGUCCAUCACAUCAUUCUCCUAAUGAUAUGACCUCGUUAUUAAAUGACAACACAUGUCUAUGGUUAGGAAACCUUAACCAUCUUUAAUCAACGAGCUAAUCUAGUAGAGGCGUAUUAGGGACACGGUAUUUGUUUAUUUAUCCACACACAUGUAUUUGAGUUUCCAAUCAAUACAAUUAUAGCAUGGACAAUAAACAUUUAUCAAGAACAAUGAAAUAUGAUAAUAACAAAUUUAUUAUUGCCUCUAGGGCAUAUUUCCAACAUCGAGUGCAUUCCCAUGAUCAUCUUCCGGAUUCUUAUUGAACCGACUCAGUUUGCUCACAGCAAAAGAGAUGUCAGGUCUAGUUGCGGUAGCCAAAUACAUGAGUGAACCAAUAACCUGAGAAUAUCUCAGUUGGUCUCUUCCAAUUCUGUGAUUUUUUCGAAGCAGAACGCUUGGAUCAUAAGGAGUUGGAGAAGGUUUACAAUCAGCAUAUCCGAAACGACUCAAGAUCUUCUCUACAUAGUGAGAUUGCACCAAAGUGAUCUCACCAUUGUCGCCUCUCACGAGCUUGAUGUUCAGAAUAACAUCAGAUACACCAAGGUCUUUCAUGUCAAAGCACUUCGACAAGAAAGUCUUAACCUCUUCAAUCACUUUGAGGUUAGUCUCAAAUAUUAGUACGUCAUCGACAUACAAGCAAAGUAAAACUCCCCCACCCCCACCAUGGCGGUAGUAUACACAUUUGUCAGCUUCGUUUACAACAAAGCCGUCAGAUGUUAAAGUUUUGUCAAACUUCUCAUGCCAUUGCUUAGGAGCUUGUUUCAGGCCAUAUAGAGACUUUAAUAACUUACACAAUUUGCCUUCAUGACCCUUUAUUACAAAUCCAUCUGGCUGGUUCAUGUAAAUUUCCUCGUCCAACUCUCCGUUAAGGAAAGCUGUCUUAACGUCCAUUUGAUGGACGAUCAGACCAUAUGAGGCAGCCAGUGAUAGUAAUACUCUGAUUGUGGUCAAUCGAGCUACAGGUGAGUAAGUAUCAAAGAAAUCUUCACCUUCUUUCUGGGUAAAACCCUUGGCCACAAGUCGCGCCUUGUACUUCUCAAUAGUACCAUCAGGCCUAAGCUUUUUCUUGAAUAUCCACUUGCAUCCUACAGGUUUGCACCCGUACGGACGGUCAACGACCUCCCACGUACCAUUAGCCAUGAUAGAAUCCAUUUCACUACGAAUGGCUUCCUUCCAAUAGUCUGCAUCCGGAGAUGCAAAGGCCUCAUCAAUGGUUUUAGGGGUGUCAUCUACAAGGUACACAAUGAAAUCAUCACCAAAGGAUUUAAUAAUCCUUUGUCGCUUACCCCUAAGAGGGGCUUCAUUGUCAUACUCCUCAGGAAUCUCAUCGCGUGUUUGUUCAAGAUUUUCCACUGGGAUGGCGGGUUCAGGAGCUACACCAUGAUCCUGAUGUUCCUCUGAACUGACGGGUUCAGCAGGUACAUCAUGAUCCUCUCUAGAUGUGCUAUGCAUAUCUCUCAUGGGAAAUAUGUCCUCAAAAAAUGUAGCAUCCCUGGACUCCAUAAUUGUACAGACGCUCAUGUCAGGUACUCCAGAAUUUACAACCAAGAAUCUAUAGCCGACACUUCGAAAUGCGUAGCCAAGAAAGACACAAUCAACCGUUUUUGGUCCAAGCUUACGUUUCUUGGUGAUUAGCACAUUGACUUUCGCCAAACAGCCCCAAGUCCGUAAGUAAGAAAGUGUGAGUCUCUUCUUUUUCCAUAGCUCGUAUGGGGUGACUUCUUUAUCUUUUGUAGGAACACGAUUUAGGACAUGACACGAAGUCAAUAGCGCCUCCCCCCACCAUGCCUUGGAUAAACCAGCAGUGUCUAACAUGGCGUUGACCAAGUCAGUCAGCGUGCGGUUUUUCCUCUCAGCAACCCCGUUUGACUGGGGCGAAUAGGGAGGCGUCCUCUCAUGGACUAUGCCAUGUUCCUCACAAAAUGAAUUAAACUCACUGGAGAAGUAUUCUCCACCGCGGUCAGACCGCAAACGUUUAAUUUUUUUCUCAACUUGAUUCUCUACUUCAGCUUUAUAGAUCUUAAAAUAAUGCAAUGCUUCAUCGUUUGAUUUUAAUAAAUACACAUAACAGAAUCUAGUCGCAUCAUCAAUGAAAGACAUAAAGUAACGCUUUCCACCUUUGGUUAAUAUACCGUUCAUCUCACAAAGAUCAGAAUGUAUAAGCUCUAACGGUGCUAGGUUCCUUUCCUCAGCAGCCUUGUGAGGCUUGCGAGGCUGCUUCGCUUGCACACAAUCUUGGCACUUCGAACUUUUAGCCACAGUGAUUUUAGGAAUUAAACUCAGAUUUGCUAAUCGCGUCAUGCAACCAAAAUUAAUGUGACAAAGUCGUGAAUGCCAAACAUUAGACUCAUUAUUAAUAGAAUUGACGCUGUUCACGACCUUAUUACAAAAAUCCGAAAGGGAUAAACGGAACAAACCUCCGCACUCAUAACCUUUACCAAUAAAUUGUCCAUACUUAGACACGAUAACUUUAUUGGACUCAAACACUAACUUAAAUCCGUCCUUGCAAAGGAGGGAUCCACUAACAAGAUUCUUCUGAAUGGAGGGCAUAUGCUGCACGUUCCUCAGCUGCACGAUCUUUCCCGAAGUAAACUUCAGAUCCACCGUGCCAACACCAUGAACAGAAGCAUGGGCGCCGUUCCCCAUCAUCACUGAGGAGCUGAUGGCCUGAUAUGAAGAAAACAAGGAAAUAUCAGCACAAACAUGAAUAGUUGCGCCUGUAUCGACCCACCAAUCGAUGGACUGACAUACAGAAAAUAUAGUAAAUAAAUUACCAUACCUGCCUGCAUCUUCAUUGUUGCCAAUGGUCAAAUUAGCAAACUUUUGCCGAAUCUGUCCUCUUUUGCGCUCCUUGCAGUUACUCGCCCAAUGGCCAAGUCCUCCACACACAAAGCAAGGAUCCUUGUCCUUGUUGCCUCCUUUCUUCUUCUUCUUGAAAGUGGUAGUGUUCUUUGGACCAGCAUUAUUGAAUGCCUUUCCCUUUCCCUUGUUGUUACUGUUGUUGUGGUUGUUCCUCUGAACCAUGUUGGCAGUGGACGUACCCUCUUGUGUGUUGCCUUUGGGGCCAGCAUCUUUUGCUCUCGCCUUCUCCUCAACAUCAAGAGUCCCAAUCAGGUUCUCCACAGAGAUUUCUUGUCUCUUGUGUUUUAGUGAAGUAGCAAAGUUCCUCCACGAGGGAGGAAGCUUGGCGAUGAUGCCCCCGGCGACAAACUUGUCGGGUAGUGGACACUUGAAUUGCUCAAGUUCCUUAGCCAUAGUCAAUAACUCAUGAGCUUGUUCCACUACAGAUCGGUUUGCAACCAUCUUAUAGUCAAAGAACUGCUCCAUGACGUACAGCUCACUGCCAGCGUCAGAUGCGCCAAACUUGGCAUCGAGCGCAUCCCACAACUCUUUGGCAUCCUGAUAGUGCAGAUAAGCAUCAACGAGCUUAUCUCCCAGCACACUACAGAUCGCACCGACGACUACAACACAAGCCUCAACAUACAACUGCUGAGAAGCAAUUGUUUGAGUCUUCCUGUGUUGUACCGCCCACCAUGCGCCCAUAGCCACGAGCCACAUAUGACAUUUAUACUGCCACCUCUUAAAGUGCAGUCCAGUAAACACAGGUGGUUUCAAUGCGACAGCAAAUUGAGACAUCGAAAAUUGCCUACACGCAUAAGGUUUUUGGAUUGUUGACAAAUUAGGUAAUUUCGAUGAAUAUUUAAUCCAGAAGGACAGUGUGUAAAACAUGUAGCACAUUAUAUCAUGCAAACUAGACAAAUUAAAUAGCAACACACAGCAAUAAAACUCAUCUAAUUUCACGGCAUGAAUAAUAGAACUACUAAUCAAAAUCAACAAGAAAGAGCAGAUUACGUACGGUGCUGUGCUCUUUUCUUGUGUUUGUUUGUUGAGGUCGGUGACGAGUCCGGUGGCGUCGAUGUUCACGCCGGCAGCAGCAGCAGCCUUGACUACCUCCUGAGCAGCGGGCAGUGUAUUUAGGAAACCAACAAUUAUCGGGAUUUGAGAUAAGCACGACCCAGCUCGGGCUCGGGCUCGAUCCACGAAACGCGCGCGUCGUGACGAGGCGAGCGGAGGAGGAGGAGGAGCGCGCGUAGGGAUUUUCCUUGCUCACUUGCUCAAGAGGUGAGAACCAACAUACCUUAUAUAUUGGUCCAACUCCCCCUAAACUAGCAAUGUGGGAUUAUUCCUACUUCCUCAUCCCACUACAUGAAUGGGCUUUUGAGAUUUUUCAGGAAUUAAUUUCAGAUUGCGCCUUGGGCCUAACCCAAAAUUCCAACAGUUUAUACGUAGCUUGUGUGCUCUGGACUUGGAAACCUUUAUCUCACGGACCAAUGUUUGGGAUUCAAGCUUUCAUAGAAAGACUUGCUUUUAAAUUUUCUUUAGCUAUGAAGCAUUGCCUUCUGUAUCCAGGUCAAUGAGAAGAUUUAUUUUACGGCAUUCGCCUUGUUUAAUUGUGAUGAUGACGACAAGAGGAAUUUAGCAAUCUUACGCGAUGCUGGUCUCUACAUUAGAGAUAUUUCUGGCAUUGCUUGUGAGGAUUGGGAGAUACUGAAGCUUGCAAUAGCUGUCAAGGUGAUAUAUGUCGCCCUACAGAAGAACUCACAGAUUUUCAUGUGGUAAAUAAUACUUGCUAUUUUUGUAUGCGGUCUCUGCUGCUCGGUGUGCAUUUCAUGGAAGCUUGUAUAUAUAUCAUAUAAUGUGUUAAAUCAUGCUCCUUUCAGGUUCUUGCAGAAGAUGUGGUAUCAAAGUUGAAAGGUGAUGCAUGGAAAUAUGAAGGUGUCGCAGUUAAGGUCCAUUGGCUGACUGCCUACAGAUCAGUUGCGUCUAACCAUGGUCUCAGGAUUGAGAAGAAGAGAAUGUUGGGGUCCUUGGUUAGGGAAGCUAAGAAAGCAUAUGAAGCAGAAGAAGCGGAAGUAUGUCAGAAGGUUAAUAAGUUGCAUGAAGAGUCGCAGCAAAAUUUUGAAACGAAAGCUGUGUGACAACAGUGGUGAGGGUACUCCCCAUAAGCGACAUAAAUACUGAUUAAAAUGCUGGGCAGCCUACCAUCUAUAGGUCAAGCAUUCUGAUUCAAGGGUCUCAUGCUCUCUUGUCUAUGUCCGAGGGUGCUCUUUAAUAAGAUGGGAGUCGGGGACAUGAGCUUGAGGUUGUCGUCGAGAUUGGAAUUCAUGGACAACUUAUUACUUGUUCGAGUUCAUGAUUAAUUUUAUGCAUUGUGGUAAGAUAUAGACCUGCAUGGUGUUUGACAAAACAAAACGACCCUCGAUCUCGAUGUAGGGCUGUAUAAUCGUGCUGUAAAACUAGAGAUUCCGAGUAGCAUCGCCUCGCCAAUGAGGAAGAACAGUCACACAAGAUAAAGUAAAAAAAGAAACAUAAAUGAAUGUGGAGCACUUCUCUUUAUUCAAUACUAUAAUCAACUUGUGUUUACAACACGGGGCACUCCAUUUAUAUAGGGGUGCCUAUUCAUGGUAAGAUUCGUAUAUUACUAGUCAAGUAGCCCACACGUAGGACUAGGACUAGACCUUCCAGAGUCUUCCUAAUUCAUCUCCUAUUUGGUUUCAUGACAUAUACUCAACCUUGUGCUAUUUGAAGUUGCAAGCUAAGUUUGCCUUAUUCCAGGUCACUUUUUGGCCUCAACAGGAAAAAGUGACUAAAACCUACUUAUUUCAUACACUGCUUCCUAGCUAGCUACUCCCUUGGUUCUUUAAACUACUCCACUGUUCCCAUGAAUUAGCCUUUAUAGUGUCAUUUUCCCUCACGGUAGGUCACUAUAAGGGGUUGAUUCAUGGGAUUGAGGGAGUAAUUAAUUCUUACACUAUUAUUAUUUAUCCCCUCCUUUUGACUUUUAAGCCUUCCUUUCAGGGAUAUAUAAACCUAAAAUACCCUGGAGAAAAACUGUCCAGCAUCAUGCCACGCAUGCUCAGCGGUGUGUCCAACAUCAUACCACACAUGCUCAGCAGUGUUUCCAACAUCCUGCCACGCAUGCUCAACAGUGUUUCCAACAUCAUGCCACGCAUGCUCAACAGUGUUUGCAAAGUUUUGAAGUUCAUUAUAAGCUUCUUGAGCUAAGCUCAUUGCGCUGUGAUAACCUUGUUCUACCAUGUUUGGAAGAUUGUCGAAGAAUUCCUUCAAGGGAUGCUCUAAAUAAUCAGUGUAAACAUUCACAAGAACAUGUUCAACAUGCUCAGCUGCAAUAGUUAUAACACCUGCUUUUACAGCUUCCUUGAACAUGCCUCCUAGUCGGUAUGGAACUUUUCCGACCCAUACCUGCCUCAUCCCUGGCAUUUCGCACCUCUUGUGUUGCUAGAUAUGUACGGCUGCAAAAAACAUUGUGUCACCGUUAAAUUAAAUGUUGACCUUGCUUUUAAGUAAGCUUCCUGGUGACAGACUAACUAAGUUUCAAAAUGGUAAAAUAUAUGUGGUCAAACUUGUUGCGAGAAUCAAAUAAGAUUACGAUAUGAUGAAGAGGAAGAAAAGUCAAAUCUGCGAGGAAGAAAGUCAAACCAAGAAAUGUGGACUUAAGGAACCAAACUCUUAACUGAGCAACAAGUUAACCUUGAGUGGUUCGUAGACAGAGAAAAUAGAGGAACUCGCAGAUCAAAGAGAAAAGGGAGAGAACCCAUGAUAUGCUUGUUAACACUGCAAAUCAGAAUCAGACCAUCGCUUGCUUCAAAGAAGCUCUUAUCCUGGGAUGCUGGAAUAUUUGGAAUCAUCGAAACCAUAUUAUUUUCCAGAAUGAGAAUAGGAGAUUAGAUUCAGCUUUCCAACUUUUUUUAAAUUAUUUUACUCAUGUCAGACACCGUGCCAAACCAAGUCUGAAAGAAGGAAUGCCGGCAUGGCUAGACACUUUAUGAUUUUCCUCGAUCAAUUUUGUAAAUAUCCAUUGUACAUACCCAUCUUCUAUAAAUGAAAAUGACACGGUAGGAACCUUCCCUACUGUUUUGUGUCUAAAAAAAAGGGAGAGAGCCAGGUGUAUGCACCUCAAUUUGCACAGGGGUUGUUCUUCGGUCUUCAGCUCUUUGCUCUAGGGUGGAGGACGAGAGGAACGGAGGGGCUCUAUUUAUAGCCGCAAAGCUGGGUUUACGUCAUUCGCUUUGUACUAGUAAGAACCCGGGGCCUGGUUGUAGCCUAUUUGUCUUGCAUCACAGCCAGGUUAUUCGACAUGGUUCUGGAGCAAGCAUAAAUUGAAUGGUUGGCACCUCCAUUCCACUCCUGGGUUCGGCCAUAUCCAUAUGGCAUAUUCCAUUUUCUAUAUGUGGCCUUCAUCAUAUAUGCUAGGUUAAAGCUUCAGAUUCGCGGGCCGGUCGUUCCGUUGCCACACCUGUGUUCAUAACGAUCGGCUUAGCCACGGCUCCAUACCUUCGCAGCUCGCGUUGCGUCUGCUCGGCUCCAAAGUGUCGUGGAAUGUCCGAACGUCGUGCUCUCGGCGCACUGGCAAAACGACCAGUCGAUGGACGCGCCGGAGCCCUACAUCCGCAUGCGCACCGGCGACGAGAUUAAUCACUCAGAGAUCCACUACCAGGAACUCCAUUCAAUAGUGAUGUAAUAGGUAUAAAAGACCCUGAGAUACCAUCAGAUUCUGCUUGAACAGUAUUCAGCCACUCGAUAUGAGACAUAAUACCGUUAUCCCUUCCAACUCUUCGUUUAGGCAUCAUCACCAAAUCCUGAGACCACAAUCAGUAAAUAUAAAUAAGACAUGAACAGUGAAAAUGGUAUCAACACAAAGACCUAUACCUCUGUUGUAGUGUAAGAUUUCAGUGGACUGGACUCCACAAAUCUCAGUCGGUGUUCUCUUCUGUCACUCUGCAGGCAUGGAAAACAUAAAUUUCUGAGCUAAGAAAACGCACAAGCAACCUUUUGUAGUCUGUACCAACAUAUAUGACGGACAUAAACGUUAAGAGAUGUUAGAAUUCAAGUGAACAACCUACACACAAACAACAUAUCAAGAGCAAGCCUAUUGGCACAUACAUCAUCCUUUUCCAUAUGUGUCUACUGUGUAUGGCUAUUGGCAGAUUCACAGACAACAUGUGUGGAUGUCAAUUCAACAAAUUCCAAUUAAAGAAGUUAGAGCUGGUAUGCAAUCUAUUUGCACUGAUCAAAAGCUGCAGUCCUGUGAGUACUGAGUACUGCCAAACUACAGAUGUGAACUGCACAUAGUUUAUUGCACAAGUAGCAGGCUAUGGUAAUACUAGAUACCAGUUAAGAUAUUUAGUGUGGAAUAGAAAUAUGCAAGGGCAAGUGAAAGUCAGAAAAAUUUAGAGGCUAGUGAAACAUCUUAUCCUUAUCUUUAAGCAUCCCUGAAACUAAUGUCAGAUUGCCCAUUUGCAUCAAGAAAUCUCCUAUAAGACAUCUCCUUCAAUCGUUUUUGAACAUCAACAUUCAACAGCUUGCAAUUAGAAAAAAAAAACAGCAAAUUUUUAUUAGAUGUAUAUAUAUUAUCCCGCCGCCGGGCAUACCUCCCACCCCCACCCCGCCCCUGGCUAUCCCGACGGGCAUACCUCCCCCCUCUCUCCUGCGCGUCCUAACCCUAGACCCCCAACCCUAAUCCUAAGACCCUAACUCUACUCCUAAUCCUACCUGUUCUACUCGACUUGCAAGUGAUCCAAGGCUCGCCUCUAUAUGCCGGUGCUCUUCCAUCUCCGCGAGCCGUGUGAGACUAAAGGAAAUACAGUAGCACGUACCGGAAUAGCCUGGCCGCCUUCCCCGGCGCGAAUCCACGAGGACGCCGACAGCACGGGAGAACUCCGCCGCCUAUCCUGGGCCUCUGGUCGCCGGCCGGCCGGCCGGCCGGCGAGCUCCUCGAAGCAGUCCGCCUGAGAGCGAGAAGACGAUCCAGGGCACAGAGAGAAAGAGUCGGUCCGUUCAGUAAUAUAUCGGCCCAAAAACGCUUCGGCCUAAAAAGAAUCGAGCCAGUAAGCCCAACGGCCCGGCCCAGUAAAACAGGAUAGGUCAGCCCACCUAUGUCUUCUCGUCUUCUUCCCCUUGCCCUCGCCGCAACCGCAAGCGCAACCAACCCUCUUCUCCUUCUCCACCCGCAGCGCAGCCAGCCACGAGCUCAAAUCUCAAUCGAUCGGAGGAGGCGGAGAACCGGAGAUCGGAUCGGCGAUGGCGACGUUCGACCCGUGGCCGGUCUUCUUCCGUAGGGAGUGGAAGCGCAACUGGCCCUUCCUCGCGGGCUUCGCCGUCACCGGCUUCCUCAUCACCAAGAUGACCGCCGGCUUCACCGAGGAGGACCUCAAGAACUCCAAGUUCGUCCAGGAGCACAAGCGCCGAGCCUGACGCUCUCAGGUCACCCUUCCCCCUGCUUUCUUCUCCCUGCUUCCCGUCGUAUCCUGCCGAUCCGCCGUGCAAUUAGGUCUUGGUGACCCAUCCAGCGCUGUUCGUUCGCUCGUUCGUUGUCUUCCUGCCGUAUCCGGGCGCCAACGUUGCGUCGAUGCGUUGAAACGAGGCAAGACCAACUGAGACCGAGAAUUGCAUUGAUCGUUUGAUCCUGUGGAUGGAUGUUUGUUUUCUGCAUAGACAGUAGGUCGUAGGAAUUGCAUCCCCUGACGCAGUCAUUUUGUGUUAUCCUUCUACAUGUAUUCUUAGGUUACUGUGGUUCUUAGGUUACUGUGGUUUGUUGUUUGGAUACGUAGCAGCAAGCUUCAAGAUGUUGAUGCCAUUGCAAAAUGACUUGUCUUUUUUUGUCUGGACCAUGAAAAUGAUUUUCAGAUGAUUCAAUAUGGUGUUCCUGUUUUCUUUCCUGGGAUAAGCUGUUUCAGAAAAACACUAGUAAACCAUUUUGGAACUACAAACAGCUGCCGUUUAUUUACGCUUUACUCCCAACAAUAACAUGGUCAAAGUGCUUGAAGGAUCUAGUUUGUGUUCAUUGUCAGUCUUUUGUCAUAUUGCCAUGAAUACAGUAUCUGCUUUGGUUGGUUGCUGAGCUAACCGUGAGUUUAUGCCCUCACAUUGUUCAAUGUUCAUAUGUUGACAUGCUGCAAUUGAACCAUGUAUGCUGCAUAGUUGCCUACCACAAGGAUCAGGUUACUGACAGGUUGAUGAUUUUGUUUCCUCCAGGUGAAGGAAUGGCUGCUGCAGUUCCCAGUCAUUAUAAGCGUGGUCGGCAAUUUUCUUACGUUAUUUGAAUGAAUUCACCAAAGGAAUGACUUAGUCUACCCAAGUUUCUACUGUAAUGUUGUAAUAAGAGGCUUUUGAAUACCUAAACCAACAAAUGUCAGCUCCAAUCUAUAUUUCAAGUCAGAUUAUUGCAUAUCUUGUUUUCUUUUCACAUGGUUAUGCUUGGGGCAACAUUUGCGAUGUGGUGACUGGUGAAAAACCAGAUCCUUUGUUAUCAUAUCACCAUUGUGCGUUGCUGUGUGAUUGAUGUGUCCUGUUCUUUUGGGGGGUGGGAGGUAACCUGUUUGGUUUGUUGUGCGCCUGAUAAAUCACAAUAGAUGCUUAUAGCUGAUGUUCAUGUUCUUUCCAUCUGUAACUUUGGCUAUGGCGACACGGAGCAUUGUUGGAAAGGGUAACUGCAUCAGGUAUAUGCAUGAUUGUCCGGGAUGUGCAUAACUGGAGCAGAGGCUGCCCAUGUUGCUUGUUUUUGCAAUGUGAAAGACUGGAAUUGUUCAUGCCGCAAUUCACUAGGCAAUUGGUGGGAGUGCAGCUUGUCUGGAUUGCUUGAUUGCAUUUGCAGCUGUUGAACAAUUUAGUUUUCCAGUGGAAAGGAAACUCGAUCGUGCCCCUCAAGGUGCAGCCAGGUUUAUUGCUGGAACCUGGCUCCCAAUUCUUCACAGAUUCAUGGGCAUGCACAAUACUUUUGUCAGUUUCACAUUCGUGGGCUGUCUCUGUGUGAAAAGUUCCCCGACAUCUAGUAGGUGAUUCAACAAAGCAUGCAUUGAACAAGGUCUUUUACAAGUUGGACAAAUGCAAAUUCAGCGACAAUCACGCCCAUGGGAUGGGUUAGAUGAUCCUCUACUGCAGCUAGUGCCCACCAAGAACGUCUGAUUUGCUGAUGCAGCGGCGAGCACCCGAAUCUUGGAAGAGAUGUCAAUGAUAUUUACAUGGUCUUCAACUUUGAAAGUGCUUUCUUCCGCUGCCCAAGCAUGUAAGUAUACAUAUGCGGGCUCCCUGCGGUGAAAAAUUAAUUUAAAUUGUCAAUAUUAAGACGAGCACACAGUGAAGUUGAAUGAACGGAAAUUGAUGCCGGGGACAAGGGAGGUACCUGGAACAUAAAUUACAAGUGCAAGGAUUGAUGCAUAGAGGUAAUCAAAUGAAAAGUUCCAUUUAUUGGGCAUUCUAAGACAGUACUUCUCUGAUGCCUGCAAUUAUCAAUUUGAGUGCAAAAAGCAUAUUAGCAACAUAAAUUAUGUUGAUGUACUGAUCAGUUACCUUGAUAGAUCUCCUCAGAAAUUAAGAGAAUACCUUAAUGAACUGCAAUGCAAUGUAUAUCAGGCCAACCUCGCUGCUGAUACCAGUUGGGUACAUGACUAGGAAGGAACUAUACCUGUAUAAAUUCAGGUUUGAUCUUUUGAGAUAAUGAUUCAGGUCUAAUGGUUGCAAUGUAAAGAUCUUCUCUUUUAUGAUUGAUGCUGCUUUAAAUUAAAUAAAUACGUGAUCUUAAGCAAAGUUAAUAUUGGUAGCAGUGUAGCUUAGUCUCACCUAAGCCAUAGAAGCCAUGACGGAGCGGAUCCAAAAAGCUCUUUUGUGCCGAAGAAGGAAUACCUGAUAAUCUGCAAUGCGACACCCGACACUCGAGUAGUUAGGUGUCUGGAUGCUGCAGAAUUUGUUUCUAUCCAUGGAGUGUGAAGUGGUAAAAUCAUCUAUAUCAGCGGGCUCUAAGAAAGCAUGGGCCGUAUGAAUAUGACAUGGCUUGACAACCUAUGUAUACAAUACGCAACACACUUUAUUUGUAAUCCGCCGCUUUAAAGCAAUUAUUCCCUAGUGGUUGCUAAUGUUGUGUUUCUACAAGAGCAUCAUUGCACUGAAGCCUGAUCCACCUCAUUUGCAACUAAUUGUACUGAAAAUAGAAGGCAUGAUUGAAUCUAUAAACUGCAGUUACGCACACAUUUUAGUGCCUUUGACUUAAAGCUGAUUUCACUCAUGUAACAGUAUAGUCAAUUAAGCUAGGACAAUCAUGUGUUAAUUUUCUGUCAUUAGUAUCUUAAAGUUCAACUUGGAACAGCAAUAUCUUCAUGCCAAAAGCAUCCUUGCAUCACUUUAGGAAGAGAUUUUCAGUUAGUCUGACAACAACAGGUCCUGCCUCUGACAUAGAGUCUAACAUGUAUUUCUAGUGCUUAUUUCUGCAGUACAUACAUAUAUGCCAGUCAGUCAAUGAUGUAUACCUCAGUGAUAGACCAGCUGAUGACCAAUGAGCUCACCAGAAUGUGUGUCCUGACCUGCAAGCCCAAUCACAAACAGCAUGAAGCAAGAUGAGCAGCAAGAACACACACGGCGGCAUGGUACUAAUGGCAAAGGUAGAAGAUGACUGGGAGAGCAGUGUGAGCCAUGGGCACCUCAGGGAAGCUCCAGAGGAUGCCCCAGGUGACGAAGAGCCGGGAUCCGAUCUGCGGCAGCGUCGCCGACACCGGCGACCUCACCAAUCCCACCAGCCCGUGAAGAAUCUGACGGAGAGAAGAAAAGAAACAGCUCUCAGAAGUCGGACAGAUCAAGACUCGAGACACGGCAGCUGCAAGAUCCAUCUAUCCGGCCGGCAAGGUAAUACCUCGAGGACGGCGGCGGUCUGCGCGAGCUGGAGCGGCCUCUCGACGGCGGCGUACACGCCCUCGUGCCCCGCCCCGAGCAGCGCCGUCACGGCGUAGUACAGCACCUGAGCCCUGCAAAUCCAUCAAUCAAUAAUCAAUCCCAAUCCACUGGCGAGGACACAAGAAUUCCUAUCGUGGGAAGGAAGGAAAGGGACGAACCAUCCGAAGAAGACGGCCCAGUUGUAGACGGAGAGGUAGGCGCGCUUGAGUGCCGCCGCCAUGGCCGCCGCCGGGUGUGGAGGAGACGAUGGGCGGAGGAGCGUGUUGAGUUAUAGCUCUCCGCCUCCGCGUGGACAGUGCAAGAAACCGACAGGGGCGGUUGGGGGUGGAUUCUUGUCACGCCUCAGCUGUAAUUGUAGAGCAGAGCUCAGCCUCAGUUCAGCUCAGCUGCCUGCUACCAGCACCAUUAAUUCAGUACUAGCAACCAAUUCUACCAGCCAAAUCAAUGCAGCAGCAACCACCUGAUUCACACACUGCACUCACUCGCUCGCCGAGCUAGAGGAAUCCCCAACGGAAUCGAGUUCGUCAGCAAGUUCUCGUGCGGUUCAUCGGUUUUGUGUGCGUGUGCAUGCGUGCACAACUCUGCUUCUCAUGUAAUGCUUCUAGAUUUCUUCCUGGCUACAAUUUUCUGAUUGAUUGGUUCAUGGAAUGUUGCAGUCUUGCAGAGUGCACGGCAGCUGACCGAAUAUAAUCAAAUGAUAUCUAUAAAUAAUCUAUAAAUUGAUUAUGAAAUCCUUGAUAUCCGUCGAAGUUUAUGCUUGAUGGAAUUGUUUCUCAACUUCUCCUUCGUGUUCAUGCCGAAUAGGUCGAUGGGGACGAAUUCUGUUGUCAGAACUUGAUGUUUUUGCAAUGCCAGCAGUGGUUAGGUACGAGAAAACGUCGUUGUAAGACAAUUUGACAAUCAAAUGAUGCCAUUCGUGCUGAAAGGAAAACACCGCUUGCUACCUCAUCAUUUUCUACCAUGCAUGGAGACUAUCUUUGGUACACUCCGUCCCAAAAUAACUGACGUGGGACGGAGAGAGUGUAAAAAAAAUAUGUGACAAUGUUAGAUAAUUUAUUGAUGACAAAUUUGUAAGAAGGGUGUUAUCUCUAAGAGGGAUUUUUAAUUUUCAAAAGGAAUUAGGUGUAAACUGAAAUUGGAAAUUUGAGACGGUAUGAUAUAAGGUUUUUUCAAUGGGUUUUCCGGUACCUGAUGGCACAGACAGCCAACAUAUAAAACAAAACUAUAUAUGUACUCUCGUCUGAGCUAUUCUACGGUGCCCCUAAAUUAAUUUAAACCGUCCAAUUUUUUGAUCUAAAGGCCCAGAUUAGCAACUACUCUUUGAUACUCCAACUAGGAUCCACGGAGUAUGGCAGUGGAGUAUCAAACAGACAAGGGUAAAGAUGUAAUUUAACCCGAUAAGAUUUGCGAUUCAGCCGCCAGCGGCCAACCACCCUCACCUGCCGCCGGCAGUCAGCCCGCAACGGCAGCAGGGUAUUCCGACCGUCUCCUCCUUCCUCCUCUCCUUCUCCCUCGAUCUCAUCCAGGACGAUGGCGCCAUGGUGAAGACCACAUCGGAUGCCGCGCACCCGUGCCGCGAAAGCCGAUGAGCCAACGAGGAGCGCGUCAGCCGCGACCAGGGCCUCCGCCUUGGCCCUCUGAGGCGGCGGUUGCCAGUUGAUGUCUUACUUGUUUGCAGCGUCCGACGAGCGCGCACCUGCGUAUAUGCUAAACGCCGUCGUGGCUCCUCGUGGUCGGCAGUGGCUCGGGGCCAGGGGAUGGAUACACAGUCCGCAUUUUGGUUUCAAUCUUGUCCCAUGGAUGCUGCCAUGCCGCUAGGCUGGUGCUGCUCCGGUGGAUUGCCGUCGUUAGCGUCGUGUGGAGGCCACUGGAUGGCUGGAUCAAAGAUUUGAAGUGGCCGGCGGAUGCUUGGUCUCGGUCGAUGCCUGAGAAGAGACCUGCGGCGGGCCGCCGACAGGAGCAUACUCUCCGUUUUUUUUUAUUAAUGGAAAAGUCAAAAUUGUCCUUCUUCCCUAAUACUCCGUUCAGACUAAUGGAGUAUUAGGCACCGUAAAAUCUCUCAUAUAUAUACACAAUAUGACAUCGAGUUAUUCUAAAGUACAGGUACUGAUUGCCAACAUAUGCAUGGAUCAAUGCUGUCCAAAGGGAACGAUCGAUCGACAAUCCUACACAAUCUCUAGACGACGAGAUUCGUUAAAGAAGUGAGAAGCUAUAGCUCUAGCUGGAUAUAGGAGAGUACUAGGGGCAUAUAUUUGUUGCAGGUUACAUCGAUCGUGUAAACAAGCAUCCAUGCAUCGGGGAAGACGAAGAUCAAAACAUGAACAAAAGCAAAGAUCCUGCAUGUGUUUUGCCAUGUUUGGUCAGAAAAAAAGAAACAGCAAUCUGAAAAUAUUCCUCCAAUCCAACCCAAUCAAAUUAAUAGUUAAUUAGUUAAAGACCAAACCAUAGAGAUGUGUGUGUGUGAGAUAGAGAGAUCUAGAGAGAUAAGAUGUAGAUGAGUAAAAUGGUGCAUGUGCAUGGUGGUUAGCUUUAUUGCCCCAAUGGUCAGGAGUGUGUGAGAGGGAGGGCUGGGGAAGAAGGCUGGAAGGAGAGACUGGGGCAGGCAGGGAGCUGCCACCUAGGCAUUGGAGAAAGCAUUCUUCAAGUAAAGCAUGAAAAUGAAAGCAAGUUAAAGGCAAAGAGAGAAUCAGAUUCCCCCGACGUCCGGCCGGCCAACAUGCCUGCCACAUGCACUCUUCUCAAGGAAAUUCAGAAUGCAGGAUCUUGGACCAUUCCAUGCAUGACCACCAUCAACACACACAAACCCUAGCUCUACCAAAGCACAGACCCCUUUAGCUUUUUGUGCCAGUUUUGCUCCCCCUGUGCUUUUGGGCACACCAAUACUGUACUAUAAUUCUUCAUCAUCAUGCAUCUCCUAUGGACUCAAACUUCUAUGCAAAUCCAUAUAUAUCCAUCGAUAAUAAUAUAUGCAUGUGCAUGGUUUUGGGUGAGCUAUAGUAGUCCUGUCCGGUUGUACUUCUCAUCGAUCCCAUUUCAUGCAUCAUAUAUGUUGAAACUACCAAUCAUAUGCUGCUGAUGCAUCAAAUCAAAAGAAAACAAAUAAUGACUUUUGUUCAUGUUAAGUUUAUAUAUGAUCAUAUUUAAAAGAGAAUUUCGCACAUUUGUUAGUUCCAAUGAUAAACGUGGAUUCAUACUAUGCAUGCAUGUGUCACACAUUUACAACACAUGUAUGACAAAUGUAUAAGGCAACCCUAAAGGAAAAUUUGUGCUAUUUAAAGAGGCUGCAAAGUAAUGAUAAAUGUGUGUUGUAGAAUCCAUUUAAAAAGGUAUAUUGUAAGAGAUAGCAAUAUAUUGCUACUGAAAGUAUUGCACUUUUAUACCUCCUACGUAUGUACAUAUAUACUCUAUAUGCCCUACAAAGAUACUUAUAUUCCUUUUGCUACUUUUUGUGUCUGCAUCAUGCACUCAUGUGCUUGGGGAUUCGAUUGCAGGGCCGGUCGAGAUACUGAUCAGCUACUAUAGUAUAUAUACACCCCUUAUUAACGGUACAUUAUUGGUUAUUUGAUCAUUAAUUUACACAUUAAUCUUUUCAUGGACUAUCACAUCCUUUGCACAUAUAACGCAUGCAGCGUGGCACACCCUCGCUCCUUUUCGAUCAGUUUGUUUAGACCUAUCUCAAAAAGCGCUAGAUCAAAUUAUGAUGCAUUGUGUAUUAUUCAACUGUAUAGAAAAAAAAGGCAAUUUAAAGGGCCUAGCAUUUUGACUAAAAAAGUUACGCUACUCUUUCACCAGGCCACUUACAAGAUGAGAAGAACUUGAUUAACUACUAAGAACUUAGCGUACAUUACAUCAAGAUGACAUGUCCAAUCAAAAUAAAUUCAGCAACAAUUAAUAUGCUCUCGCGCUCUUCAAUCAUAAAUCGGCUACAUUACACAAUUCAGUGCAUAUAGAUGGAUGAUGAUCACAUAGAAAAAAAAGAGUGAACCACCGAAACGGUGUACAAGUGUAGAUCUCCAUCGAUCAAUGAACAAGCUAGAAAACAACAUCUUAGAGUCAUUUUACAAAGGUAGAUCAGAUAUGACAUAUGAGAAAGAAACGACAACACAAAGUAUUAGAUUAUUGAUGGCACGAUACGAUUGAUCUAGAACAUAAGUGUACCCACAGACAGAAUGCAUGAAAAAACGUACUAAAAUUAAUUAGAGCUAUAGCUUAAUUAGAUUGGAAUAGGAUACCAUGCAUGCAUAACGAAUCCCAGCAUGCAUGCAGAUGCAGGAGCAGGACUGACGACACACACACUUAGCAGUUAAGUAAACAACAAACAACACAAAUUUAAGAGCUAGCUAGUGACUGAUCCAUGAAACACUCGAACAAAACAAAGGUUUAACUAAUUCUCGUAUGCAUUGAUAUCCCCCGCCCCCCUCCUCUCCAUCUUGUAAACAUAUCCUGAAGAUUUUAUACACACCAUUAAUCCCUCGUUUCUCUCCAUGCAUACUAAUCUAGCUAUAGCUAGCAAGCAAACAAGCUCUGUUGAUCGACCAUGAAUUAAGCUCGAUCGAUCGUCACAAAGAACUUGCAUGCAAGAUGUGGUAGCUAAUUACCAGCUGCACUACUGCUUGAAUAGAAAGCAUAGCCGCCGCCGCCAUUGACGACGUGCUGAUGAUCUCCAUACAUGCUGCCAUUGCCGCCAUGCCUGCCGCUGCUAAUUUGCGCGUAAUCCUGUUGCUGCUCUGAAGAUCUCUUCCCCGGCGCCGGCGGCAGCUGAGCCAUGUGGUGGCCGCCGCCGAAGUGGGCGUUGUCGUCCCCGGCGCCGGUGUGCAGUCCCAGGUGGAACAUGCCCUGCAUCGUGGCGGCCGGCAAUGGCAUUGGCUGCCCCAUGCCCAUGUCCAUGGCCUGCAGGAACGGGAAGCUCUGCUGCAUCUGCUGCGCCCACUGCUGCUGCUGCUCUUGCUGCUGCAGGAACGGGAAGCUGCUGCUGCUGAGGCCAAGAUCAAACAUGUUGCUGCUGUUGUUGUUGCUGCUGUUGUUGCAGAACAUUGACUGGAGAGUACUACUCUGCGGCGCCGCUGCCGCAGUGCUGCAAGUAGUAGUGGUGGCCGGCGCCGGAGAAGAAGACGCAGCUGCAGCAGCGGAGGUGGAGGAGGAUUUGGGCUUGGAGGAGCGCUUGGCGUGGCGGCGGUACCCGCCGCCGACGGGGACGUUGCGGAGGGCGCCGCCGCGGGUCCAGUAGCGGCGGCAGGCGCGGCAGAAGUGGCGGGGCUGGGUGAGGGAGUAGUUGUUGAAGUAGCAGAACUUGGUGUUUGUGGAGUCGCAGCGCGGGCAGUUGAGCCCGGGCUCCGGCUGCGGCACGCGCGCCAGCCGCGCGCGCUCCGACAUCGACAUCGCCUUGCUGCUGCUGUUGUUGUUGAUUGCUGCUUCAUCCCCUCCGGCGCCGGCCGCCGUGGGCGCCAUUACCUGCAGUCCUCCUCCUUCCUGAUGGCCCAGCUGGUUGUUGCCGUUGCCUCCAGCAGCAGCAGCAGCUGAAGGGGAAGAGCUAGUGAGAUGGUCGCUGCCAUUAGCUAGUUGCUGGAGCUGCAAAAUUUACAGGCAAGCAUGUAUGUCAGCAAAAGAUUGAUCGAUGCAUAUUCCAGGAGAGGGAGAUACACAUAUGCAUGAUGGCGCAAUCAGCAAACCCUAGCUAGCCAGUAAGUAUAUAUGCUCUCUCGAUCUCCUUUCUCUUUGUGUGAACAAAAUCUAGCUUAUUGAGGGAAUAAUAAUCAAUAAGCUAAGAUAUGUAGCUAGAUCGAAGAACUGCAAAUUAAAUUGAAAUUUUUACCUGGUUGUUGUGGUUGGUAUUCCAGCAGCUUGAGGAGUCUAGGAAGGCCGGAGGGAAGAUCAUGCUUCCUGCUUGCUUGAUCUCUUGUUGAGUAACUAUCAAGCAGCUAGCUACUAGAACUAGAGCUUGAGCUGGAAAAGAGAGAGUUGUUGAGACUUGAGACAGAUGUGUUUGGGCGGCUGGAGGUUGGAGAGAUAGUGGGAAGCAGAGACUUAGCGGCUGGGGAAAUGGAAUCAGACCAAGGCAAAGAGAGAAGGAAUGAGAUGGAAGCUAGGCUAGCUAGAGAGACAGGGAGGGUCUAGCUCUUGACUGCUUUUAGAGCCGGCCCAGCUGAGAGAUGGAGAAAAAGCAGAGAGAGAGAGAGCGCCAGGUUGCAAUGCAAGUAGCUGCUAGCAAUUAUAAGAGAGAGUGAGAGGAGGACCUCAUCUUGUUGUUGUUUGGUUCCUUUAUUUUGCAAGCUUUUCCUUUUUCAUCUUCUUUUUCUGGUGAGCGCUGACGGGGUUGAGUGAGUGCUACCCAUGCUGAUGAUGCAUGCAGGUAGAUACUGUUUGCAAUAGCUUGCUAAUUAGCUAUAUAUAGCUAGUUUUGUUGUCACCAUAAUUAAUUGAUUUAUGGACAACCUCAUACACUUCUUGAUUUGGUACAAACUUAAAUUCCACGAUUAAUUAAUUAAAUAAUUCGUAGUGCAUGUGUUUGGGUUUAUUUCAGACCGGAUUCCACUGUCAAACAGAUAACAUAGCAAAAAGGUCGUUUCACCCUGCACACACUUGCUCUUGCAGUCCUGGGCAGCAAGAACACACCCAGAUCAAGCCUAAUGGCAAGAGGUUCCGUUAAUUUGUUCAUUUGCUUUCGUUGUCGGGCAGAUUUUGUUUAUGACUACCUUGGUCAAAAGGAGCACAAUUACCGACCAAGUGUCCGUAUUUAGUUUGGGUGUGUGGCAGACUAGCUAGUCAUCCAUAAUAAGGGCCGCCUCCAUAAUAAGUGUCGAUCUUAACUUUGGUCCGGAAAACUAUAAACAUAGGUAUCAGCAAUUAACAAGUCAAUAAAAACACUAAUUAAAUGUCUUUAAAAUUGUACACCUAAAAAUCAAAACUUUCCUAGAAUGAUUGAAGUCCAAAAUGCCGUCAGCAUGAACAAAUAGGUGUUUGAAUCAAGCCAGUCAGCAUCCAGCAAGCUUAAUUAUAAGUUUAUAACUCAUAUAAGAGCGAACUUAAGAAGAAGCAAACAAGCUGAUGGGAUAUCAGAUGGAAGGACAUGCCAAAAAUUCUGAGAUGGUCACUGUCUUGUCUCCAUCUAGCCACUGUUUGAUUCAUGGUACACUCACUGUGCCCGUCCACAGUCCACACAAUCCAUAAUCGCAACAUCUCACCAGUUAAUCAAGAUACUAUUUCAUAACACCACAAGUCUUUAAUGUUCCAAGGACAUAUAUAGAAAGAUUAAACUAAUGGUUAAAUUGCACAUCACGGAUUAUGCUCAUACUAGCAUAGUGACCCCCCUCACCAGUGGCUGGCUUCUGGGAACAGCCACUGGUGAGGGUUCAUGGAACUAUGAAAGAGGCAUUUUGUAGUAGGCUAUGGAAUCACUAAGAAAAAAAUUAUAGGUAAAGAAAACAUGAUAGUCAAACUAUGGGCCAAGCUUGAUGAUAGGCUUUGUUUGAUUUGAAUUAUGAACCCAAACUCAUGGAAAUUGGAGAGGAGCAAAAAAUAGUAGAAAAUUGGGAAACAUUAUGACUUGCUGUUAUAACUCACGGAUUUGCAAAGUUUGACUUGUCAAGGGUGAGAAGAAGAAUGUUCGGAAGGAGUGAGCAGACAAUCGCCGGAUCCAAACUUUAUAAGUAGGAAGAUAUAUCUAAAGCGUCUAUUUUAAGAAUGGAUGCAGUACUUAGAGUUUGUGCUUCUUUUGUGCGUUAAAGUGGUUGAAAACUGAGAGAGAAUAGAAGGAGUGUGCCAAAAAGGAGAGUGCAUGUGCAUACUUCAAAUUGAUCGGUCGCUAGCUAGUCAGAUGAUAAUCAGAGGUGCCUUUUCUUAAUUACAGAGGUUGAAAACUCAAAAUACUAGUAUGAUGGAGACAUCUUAUCUAAUCAGAGGUGCCUUUUCUUACACUGCUAAGCAGAGGUACUUAAUUAAUCUAAAGUGCAUUAUAAAGCAGAUCCAAUUAAUUAGUGAUGACACUAUUGGAGUUUAACAAAGUUAGGAUUGCUUAAAUAUGCAACUUUUAAUUUCUAGAGGGUAUCAGGAUCGAACAGACAUUCUGAGAAGUAAACCUUGAAUCUUUAUAUAUGAGUCUUUCUACAGUACCCUAGAAUUAAAUUAGACCAUAUAUUUUUUAAAUCUAAAGGCUCAGAUUUGUUGAUACUCCCAACUACUCUGAUUGAGGCGUGUAGAGUAACAGUAUGGAGUAGUGAAAGCAGCGACCUGGAGUAACCUCCCCCCUCCCCCAAACCACACACGACCGUGCCCCACCACCGCAUCCAACUCUGUAGAAGAGCUCCCCGUUCGCAGCAGCCGCCGCCGGAGACCACCGCCGGCUCCCCUCCUCCUCCACCCCUGCCCCGACGGCCUCCCCUGGCAACUCCACCCACCGUGUCCCAGCUGUAGCCACAUCGCAGCUUCGCGUCCGCCCGCGCUCGCCAUGGUCGAUGUCCACGGUGCACUGACGCCGGCCUAUUGAAGCCACCCCGAGCUUGUCAAGCACCUCGAACCACCUCCUAUCUCCCUCAAUUACUUCGGGCUAGAGCAUAUAAUCAAUCUCACGCGUCUCCACACGCUCUCUAGUUAAGCUUUGGGCUGGGCGUAGGAUGGCAGCGGCAGCGGCGUGCGCUGGGGCGAGGGCGGCGGCGGACACAGAAUUAGGGAGGAGAGAGGGAGACAUAGUUUUUCCCUUUUUUUUUACUAAUGCAAAAAUGUGAAAUGACUGAUAUGCCCUUCUCUAAUACUCCAUUGGAGGUGGAUGGAGUAUUGGGCACAGAAGAAUUUGCCUUAUAUAUUGAUCGAGUAGUUUUCAGUUUAUUCGGUAACAACAUGUACUUUCUCCGUCCAACAAAGAAUGUUUCAACUUGACUAAAUUUGAGCAUCCUUAUUUUACUUAGACAGAUCGAUCAUCUAGAUAUUCAAACAUCGCACUAGAACUUAGUAAAAAGCUGCACAUAAUUGGAUACCCAUAUAUAUGUUCGCUCAAUAAUUAAUCCCAGUAUAUAUUGAGGUAUUUAAGUGUGAUAUACUCAUAUGUUAACCAAUAUCAAUCUCUAACAAAGAGCUUAAUUAGCAUAUUGACUAAUAUAGUAAUUAAGAAAUGCACCAGUUAUCUCAACCAAAAGUCUGAAGUGAUGGAAAGAUACUAGCUAGACAAUUUAUCUGCCCUUUGGCCUACUGUGACGUUUGUUUGUGGAGCCACAAAUAUUAUUUUUAAUAUUGUAUUUGGCCAGGAUUUGAACCGAGAGCUCUGAUACCAAGUUAAUUAUUGAAUUGUAUGUCAACCAAAAUCUCUCAAACUAAUGAAAAAAGACUAGACAAUUGAUUUCAACACCGACCGCCAUCCAACCAGAACAGGUAGCAGGAACAUUUGUGGAGAAGACCAGAGAGAGGCGCUGCAAGACGAGAGGCACUGGAUCGGGAGAAGAGAUCUGCGUUGAACCAAGAGAAAGAAGAGGAGCGAGAGCUUGGUGUUACAUAUGUGACUAUGUUGUUGUCCAUCAACUCGAAGUCAUGACUCGGGCGAAUGGCUAAAACCAUCGUGCUAACAUUGUUUGAAGAAUCAUCACGGCGUUUGGAUCGUCUUUAAUUUUCACACCUAGAGAAAACGAUAGGACAUGGUAUAAGGAGAUAAUGGGUCAAGUAAUUAAUUACUAGUACAGCUUUGCCUCUUAACACUAGUUAUACGGAAUCAUCUUUGCUUUGAGACCGGCCGUAAAAUAUUUGUAGGAGGAUAUACGCCGAAGCAAAUAUGUGCAUACUAGUAUAUCUUGAUAGAAUCGUGCCACCCUAGCUAUUUGCUAGUACUAGAAAAGGAUGCCAAUACAAUUAAGCUAUCCACCAGAAGAGAAGAAGCAGUAUACUCAUACAUUGUACUCCAUGCAUGCAUGUAUGCUAAUUAAUCUAUAUAUCCAGCCGCGCUAGCUAGUCAAUAUGCUUAACAUGAUGAUUAUUGUGUUCCUGGCGUGUGACUUUUUGGAGCAAAGCUCGCAUCUCAAGGUUGGAAGCUCGCAGCUCAAGGUUGGAAGCAUGCAACUUCCUCAUCUCCUCCCGGAUCCCCUUGAAUUCUUCCUCGUUGGCCUUCUUAACAUUGUACUGCACCUCGUUUCGCACCCUCGGACCGAACACCGCCAAAGCAAAAGCCGACAGACCCACAGUUAACAUCCACGAUCCCUUUGCAAUAUAAUGCACGCAGCCAUCAAUCAGUUCAGAUUCAUUAUCCAUAUCAUGGAGCUAGUACUACACUAGUUAAGCAUCAUACAUCGAUAAUAUAUAUUCCCUCCGUCCCAUAUUAAAUGACUCAAAUAUGCUUAAAAAACGUUUAGAUACAUGUAAUAGAAAGUCACUUAAUAUGGGACGGAGUGAGUAUCAAAUUGAGAGUAAAAUACAUAUGCAUAUUCAGAGAAUUGAACCUCCAUUAUCUCGGAGGAGGCAGAGCAGGAGGAGGCCAUGGAGCGUUGGAUCACGGCGGCGGACGGCAGGCCGGCGACGAGCCGCUGGCGAGCAGCGUUAGCGGCAGCAGGUAGGCAAGAGCAAGAGCCGGGCCGGGUGUUUCCUGGACCGUGUCCACAUCUGACACCCUUCCGGGCCCAACAAAGUCAUCCUUACUUCUGCCCUUUUCCUUUGCUUGAGAAAAAAGAAAUUUUGAUGUGUUUAAAUGGUGGCCGAACUAUACCCUACAUUUUUUUUUAUCAUGAUCCAAAAACUGGUGUUUGUUACCAAAAUUUUGGUAAGCUAAUUCCUCUUUGACAAAUCUAGUUUGUUUUUUCUUGCUUCUUUGUUGGCCAACUCUCCCAAGCAAAAUCAUAACAAAAAUAAAUUUCGUCCAGCCAAUUCUUGGUACGGUAAACGUAGGCUAGAUUCUACUGGAACUAAAAACAACAGACAGAGCCGUCUCGGAUAGUUGACCAUCCACACAAUUUAUCUGUGUAUUAUGAUCAUGGAUGUUACAUGAAGGGAGUGUCGAUUGCUGCUAGCAAUUUGACCUGUAACUCAUGUGUUGGGUCAUUCGGACGAUAUCGAAAGCGAGAACCCCAGUCAGGGUUUACAAGUUUUGCUAGCUACUCAGUUCGAACCCAACAAUCCACAAGAUAUGCAAUUACCAACUGAGGAGAGUUUGAAUGAAAACAUAUAGAAAGCAGAAAUGAUCAACUGAUGCUCUCUCAAGCGCAAACUCCGGCUGGCCGUGGCCCGUCUUCAAACUCAGCUCUCCUUGCCACUGCCGCCGCCGCCGUCGACGCUCUCCACCGCCGGAAUGGUCUGCAGGAUCACAAAAAAAAACCAAGAGAUGCCAACAUGGGGGUGAGCAGGCUCGCAGGCAUUGCGUCGAACAGGUUGCGUGCAUGGGCAAGCAGGGGGUGGACAGACCAUGUCGGGCUUGUAGAUGUUGUGGACGACGGAAGCCCCGGCGAGGAGGGAGACGACGACCACCACGGAAGACCACGCCAGCGACGGAGUCCCCGUCGGCAGCCGCCCGCCGCCGAACUUCUUGCCGCCGCUCAUCCUCCCUCCUUGAGCCGCCGUUGAGAAGAUGGUUGUGCCUGUGUGGAAUCUGAAGAAGAAAGAAUCUACUAGCAAAACUAAAAGGAGGUGUUGCGUUUGGGCUAACUGAGGAUGGGCCUUGUACAAAUGGGCCAACCUCGCUGAGUCCGGACGAUGAUUUGGCCCAUUGCAGCUGCCCAAUAUUGGAUUAUUGAUCGUGUUGUCUAUAUUGCAGAUUCUUUUUAUUUUUUAUUUUUUUGCGAAUGUCUAUAUUGCAGAUUAAUUUGCAGCCGGGAAGAAAUUGGAGGAGGAUGGAAUCACACGUAGACACAAUUACACGUAUAUACGCCAUGUCAUUAUCUGAUGAUUCAUCAGUUGAUCCAAGUUGCAUUAUUAUUAUGCUGUUGGUAAGAAUACAAUCCUGCAUACAUACAUGUCGACUGGUGAUUUGAAACUUGACGUGUCCGUCGCAGCUCAUGCCCAUGGGGACGAUGAGAGCGAAACAUAAACAAAUAAUUUGUACCAACGCCAAUGUUGCUAGUCCACGUCAUGCAUGCAACUUGGUCGACCUAUUGCUAUAUAUUAGGCUAAUUACUUGUUACAGUUAAAUAUAUACACGACAAGAAGAAGAAAAGUUUAUUUUUUGUUGUGCCGCUUCCUCUCACGCCUGCAGCACGCCGUACCGGUGGCAAGCAUGGCUGUCGAUAUUUUCUUUGGCCAUUCCUGCAAACUAAUCUUGGGUUUCUGUCGAGUCAUAUAUGCUGCCAAAGAGACAGCGAAUAAGCUAAUGCAUAUAUGAUCGAGCAGAUAAAUAUGAGUUAGCAGAUCUUAGAUGCAACUGCUCUGCUCCUGCCCGCUGUGUAUACUGAUAUAUCCAUUGAGCUGGGUGGAUUAGAUCUUUCUGGAUCGGAGCCAACAUGUUACUAAUUUCUUGUCCCCACUGCACACAUGAUUUAGAAUCGAACACAUACCAGGUCUACGUUCCAACCGAAAUUUAGAACAGACUUCACGUGUGUAUAUAAUCACCAAGCUUAGCUUAGCUUGGAUAGAUGGUAGGUGUUGAACAAUGACAAAUCAAUCACCGUGAAUGCAUGCGCGUAUAGGACUGCUGGUGGCUUAAAAUGAAUUGAUCGACGACCAAUAUGAUAUGUAGAGUUGGUAGUUGCGUAAGAAGCUGGAUUAAUUGGGUUGAUGUAUAAGAUACGAAUAACGAAUCAAUUAAUUAUGGAUUAGAAAGAGUAGCAUAUAUGACAUGUGGUUUUACUCGUUCUUCGUUGAAGGAUCCGUUGGCAUGCGAGUAGAAGUUGCAACUUACAAGGGACAGAAAUUCAAAACCCGGUAGCAACUAGCUAUACGGAGAGUAACGACCCAAAAAAAAAGACAUGCAUGAAAAAUACUUAAACGGAACAAUUAAUUGAAUGCAUGAAAACUACUAGUCGCACAAAAUGGCUAGCCCACCAUAUGUAUGGGCACUAGAGCUAGCUAGCAAGUGGCCGGGGAAAGAGCUAAAAUCGAUAUAAAUAUGCCUUGUUUUGUUCCUUUGAAAGGGAUUUUGAUCGAUCUUGAUGUGCUAAGUUGUCUGGUCGUGCCACCUAGCGAUCGAUCGAGAGCUAAGCUAGGCCAUUCGUACAUGUCGAUCAUCGAUCUCCGAAGAAUCUAAUACUAGCUGCGGCUUAAUUGGUACAUCGUCGAUCUCAUGGAAUAUUACAUAUGCGAUAGAUGCUUCUGAGUUCUGACGUACACGUACAUGUAUAUCGAUACUAACGAUCGAUUUGCAUACACUUACGUGCUAGUCCAACGAUCCUAAAUUCUUGUCUCAAAUUGUCAAAAUAUGGAUGUAUCUAUUCUUAAAAAACGUCUAAAUAUAUGUAAUAUUUUGACAACAAUUUAGAAUAUGAGGGAGCAGUGAUUAACAGGUGAUCCUCUUGAGUGGGUCUCCUAAUUAUUCCCAUGCAUGUUAAUCCCAUCAUAGUAAGAUCAGGUUCAGUGAUCAGCACGACGUACAUGCAUGUGUUGUUGAGGUAUAUUUUUUUAAUUCGUUUGUUAAGGGGUUAAUUAAGAUCGGUUGGGCGUGAUUUAAUCCUAGCUAGAUUCAGAGUGAUGGUAGUACUACGUACCGCUACUAAUUAAUUUCCCACUUUCUUAUAAGAAAAGAAAACCACAAAUUAAGCGGUGGGAAAAGGUACGGCGAAAGCAACAAGCCAACAAAAUGAACAAGAGAUAUGCAAACUACCAGCAUUUUUGUGUGUGUAUCCUUUGAGGAUAUGGGAAAUGUUUUGUUGAUAUUUUGAUGUAGUAGGCACAUAAAUUAUUGACGAGAUGAGGUGCAUUUAAUUAACACGAACGGACGCGUGAUUAAGGUAGGAGGGAACACGCUAAGUAACAUUGUUUAGGAUCGGUCGCACCGACGCACGUGAAUUAAGGUAGGAGGGAACCCACUAGCAAAUUUUAAUUAGGUGCAUGCAUGCAUCUCUCGAUCAUAUAUGCACCUAGAUUUUUAUAUGGAUCUUCACUUUAGGUUUUAGCUUGGCAAUUUUAUUUUAUUUUAUUUCGGAAUUCCCAUGAAGCUUAGCUAGCUGUUCAUCGUUUCUAAGCCACGGCAUAGAGAGGACCGAAGGACAUGUAAGCUUCAUUAAUGAGCAGGCAGUAGUACUAAGCUAGCCAGGAUGAGAUCUGACAGUCUAGGACGUAGGUAGGGUUGGGAUCCUGUCAGGUAGACGAAUUAGUAAGCCUUGGCUAGUCACAUCCUAAGGUGCUGUCAGUCAAGAAAAAGGUAAAUGAAGACGACGAAGAAACAAAGGUCGAUCAUAUCAGGGGUCAAACGCAGACUGUCAGCUUGUACUCCUAUUCAACACCUCCCCUGAUCUUCUUCCAGCUCGCGCGCCUUUUCACACACACACACAGGCAGCCAGGCAGAGACUUCCACGCACACAAAAAAGGCAUUUUGAAUUUCUAGCAGUUCCCAAAGUACUAUAGGUUUUAUGUAUGUCACAUGAGAGGCACAAUUCCUGGUUUUCUGAACGGUAUGAAUCCAGGCUUCCAUAGCUAGAUCAACAACAAUGAUGUUUAGUUCUGAGCAAACGAGUGUUUAGAGAGCUUGAAAUAAUGCCUUGUGUAAAAUUCUUGCAGUUGCUAGCAGCGAUCGACUAUCUUGUGCCUAAGGCCGUGUAAUUACAGAGGGAAAGUUUUGAACUCAAACUUGUAGAGCAUGUUUUCCACACUUUCACCUACUGCGCGCAGGUUGUACCGCAGGCCAAGCUUAAAUUCAGACAAGAAUAGCGUGUCAAACAAAAGAUGUCCAAAAGCCAAAAGGAAGAGGAAGCAAUGGUGUUCAUGUUAGUUACACUGCUGUCUUUCAGAAAAAAAAGGGGAAGAGUUUUUUAUUUGAAAGAGAAGCUUAUGCUAUAUAAUUAGGUUGGAGAAAGGCAGUUAAUAAGAUAUGGUGAUGGCCCCAUGGUUAAUUAGGCAUGGCCUCUCUUUCUUGGACAACAUCGAUCGACCCCUCCACAUUUCCAUCACCAAAUAUUAGUAACACGCACCUAAUAAAUAAUGCCGCAUUAAAAACACUAAUAAACUCCGCCUCCGUUGAACACGCAUGUGUGUCGACCGAAUAGAAGAAAGGAAAAGGAAAUCACGAAGCACCAACAGCAACCACAGGAUGGGGAACCUUGCAUGAUUACCUCCCUUUGAUUCAUGAUCGUUUGGUCUGAAAUUAAAGGGCGCCGACAUGUGGUCAACAUCAUGCCAUGCUGCGCCAAUUCACAAACCUUCAAUUAGCGGUGCGUCUUAGUACAGGAGUACUAGUUUCCUGGUCAAUAAGAUGCUUUGAGUAGGUACAACUUACUCCCUCUGUCAAAAAUAUACAAGGACAAAAAUUCUAACCUGGGACGUCUAAAAAUGCAAUAACAAUAACAAGUUGAUCCUUGAGAGUUGAGAUCCCAUCACUCGUCCCUAUGUACGUCGUUGCCAAAUUGAUUCACCACUUGCAUGAAACUGCAUUUUGUUGAGUUCAGCUUACUUAAGAAACAUAAGGCAACUUUGGGAGUAGAAAAAAAUAUUGAAAUUUGAGGCACCAUCUACCAUGGGGAAGAUAUUAAAAAAAAAGAGUACAGUAGUAAUAAGCCAAGCAGCACAUGUGGCAAGAAAAAAACAAAACCGUGGAAAAUAUCUGGAGAGAAGAAAAAGAGAGGGAGAUUUAAAAAAGGGGGAGAAAACGCCAAGGUGGGUGGAAGUCAAGGCAGCAAGGAAGAAAGAUCCAAGCUUGGCGUGCUCCAUUAAAAAGGCACUCUCAAUUCUUCUCAGGCCAAAACUAAACCUGCCCCCGGCCAGGCCGCGUCUUCUUCUUCUUCUUCCUCCAGACCUUCACGGGGUGGCCGGCGGCAGAGGUCGGAGGGCGAUGGGGCACGGGCUGAGCUGCGGCCGCGACGGCGAGGAGCACGAGUUCUUCCGGGCGGCGCAGUCCGGCGACGCCGACGCCAUGGACGGCCUCCUCGCCGGCGACCCGUCGCUGGCCCGCCGCGCCACCAUCUACGACCGGCUGACGCCGCUCCACGUGGCGGCCGCCAACGGGCACCUGGAGGCGGUGUCCCUGCUCCUGGACCGGGGGCGGGCGGCGCCGGACGCGCUGAGCCGGACCAAGCAGACGCCGCUCAUGCUCGCCGCCAUGCACGGCAAGCUCGACUGCGUCCUCCGCCUCCUCCACGCCGGCGCCAAUGUAAGUCAAGUCACAGCCGCCGCCAAUCCCAAUUCGACCCCUUCUUCUUCCUCUUCGUCUUCUACCUCGCGAUUUCGAUUCCUACCGAAUAAAACUUACUCUGUUUUUCUUCUCUUUGGUUUCAGAUCUUGAUGUUCGAUUCGGUGCACGCCAGGAGCUGCCUGCACCACGCGGCGUACUACGGCCACGGGGACUGCCUGGCGGCGAUCCUGGCGGCGGCGCGGACGGCGCCGGUGGCGGCGUCGUGGGGCUUCGCACGCUUCGUCAACGUCCGCGACGAGCACGGCGCCACGCCGCUCCACCUGGCGGCGAGGCACGGGCGCGCCGGGUGCGUGCACGCGCUCCUCGACGCCGGCGCCAUCGUGUCGGCGCCGACGGGGUCCUACGGGUUCCCCGGGAGCACGGCGCUGCACCUGGCGGCGCGCGGCGGGUCCCUGGAGUGCGUCAGGGAGCUGCUGGCGUGGGGCGCCGACAGGGUGCAGCGGGACUCGGCGGGGAGGAUCGCGUACGCGGUGGCCGUGAAGCGGCGGCAUGGCGGGUGCGCGGCGGCGCUGGACCCCGGCGCGGCGGAGCCCAUGGUGUGGCCGUCCCCGCUCAAGCUCGUCGCCGAGCUCGACGCCGGCGCCAGGGCGCUCCUCCAGGCCGCGCUCGCCGACGCCAACAAGAAGAUCCUCACACGCCUCAAGGCCUCCGGCAACACCUCCGCCGGCCGCGAGGAAGAAGAAGAAGAGGAAGAAGAGGAUGAGGAAUUGUGCAGCAUCUGCUUCGAACAGGCGUGCAGCAUGGAGGUGGAGGACUGCGGGCACCGGAUGUGCGCGGCGUGCACGCUGGCGCUCUGCUGCCACAGCAAGCCUAACCCGGCCACGUUCACCGCGAACCCGCCGGCGUGCCCGUUCUGCCGCACCUCCAUCUCCCGCCUCGUUGUCGCCGAGUCCAAGGCCAAGGCCAAGGCGGUGGCGAUCACCGGCGAUGAGCUUGAGGAGAAGGCGGCGGCGAUGGUGGGAUCGCCGCGGCUGAGCCGGAGGCGGUCCAGCAGCUUCAAGGGGCUGUCGUCCGCCGUGGUGGGGUCGCUGUCGUGCAAGAUCGGCCGCGGCUCCGGCAGGUUGGCCGGUGACAGCAACGGCGGCGGGGGCGGCUUCCUCGACAAGCCUGAGCACGACCCAUGAUCAUGAUGAAUGAAUGAGCGUGACAGAAGAAGAGAGCAUUUUGGAGCAGAGCAGUAGGCUCAAGUGAAGCAAAACUGCCGCCAUUUUUUUGUGAAGAUGGUCCCAGACGAUGAUCAUGGAACAACCGAGUUUCCCCAUUGCAUCCAUCAGAACUCGUGAUCAAGAUCCUGGCUGGGUACUACAUGGGUCAUCAAAAUAUCAAGGUUUUACCAUAUGGGCCGUUACCAUAUAUACUCGGUAGUGUAAUUUACAGCAUUAGCAGAUUAGGAAAUUGAAUUGUCAGUCUUGCGCUUGCUUAUUGGUUAUUUUUGGCUUGGCAUGUUUUGGUUUGAUCCAUUCCAUUGUAUUGUAGUACUAGUACUAUUGUAUUUGUAUGUAUGUACCAUCAUCAUUCAUGUUAUAGAGUCAAUCAUCCAUUGGCUAGAUUGCAAUGAGACGCCAAGUGGUUUUUUUUUUCUGGGUAGUACUCCAGUGACCAACUGAUCCAAGGAGCAUGUGAAUUGUAUACUGGAGAGCAAAGGUGUAGUACAAGUGAAACAUUUUUGUAAAGUUAUCAUGGGGCGCUGGGGAGCCGGGAAGCAUGGCGAUGGCAUGUGAGGUGAGAACAUGAGAGGGGGCAUAUCCCAUCCCAGCUUUGGCAUUUGUCUCAUGUUUAUGGAUGGACUCCAUCUUGGUGAAUGCAAUAGCAGUGUCAGCACUGCUCACUGCUCCCUGCCCUGCAGAGUUGGCAAAUCUAAUGGUGUAGCGCUAUCAUGUGGGCAUUGUUUUGUGUGGUUGUACCUGACAUGUCCUGCACACUGUGGAUCCUUAAUCACCAGGCUUAGCUACUGCUGCUUAAUGGUCUAUUUUUCUUGGUAAACCAAGAAGGAAGGGAGACUGAAAUGAGGGCAGUUGGGUGGUCCUGACCCAAGAUCCAACGGUGGUCAAUGCGUUCCAAAUCCAGGCGCAACAACAACUGGAAUCAUUCGCCGCAUUGGACCAUUCCAAGAAGAAGAAAGCUCCUAGUCCAGGGUACAGUAUAACUGUACAACUAGCAGCUGAGAUCCAUUUCCUUGAAAAAACUAAAUUUGAUCCAUUUCCUUUUGUUCCCAGAUCUUAAUCGAAACCGAGUUUUUUUUUUCUCAACUGAUCCAUAUGCAUGUUGUUGGUUGCACAACGCAACCUUAUAAGAUGAAAGAUGACUAAGAUCUGAAGCAUGGUCCUCUUAACUAACUAACCGUCCGAAAUAGGCCGUGAGCAGAGAAAAUUUAAGGGAGGGAGAAGCCAAUGGGCAAUGGCCACUCGCCAGUUGUUGUUUCUUUGUUUGACCAUCAUAUGGUGUUGGAGAAACUUGUACAACGAAUUCCAACAUCACAUGGCGUCAUAAGAUGCCAUGACCAAGUAGCACUUCAAUUCAUGCAUAUGACGGAAGCAGCUAGUGUAGAUAUUUACAAGGCCCUAUCAUUUGAGCAAUAAAUUUGGAGAUAAAAAGAAUCUCUGAUAAGUGUGAUGUGUGCCUUUUAUCUCUUUGUACUUAGUGCGGUGUCCACCUGCAUAAUUAGCACUCGGUCUGGCUUCUCUAUCUACACUAUCUAGCUGCCAGAAGAGCAGCCGCUAGGACCGGACUUUUCGGGUGACGCCGGAAAUUUGCGAGAAAUUUUUCAAUCUAGUUUGCACAUGAUUUGAGAAAGAAAAAAAAUUCCAGACGGGGUCAACACCGUCGCCAAAUGCAGCCAUUUUAUUAUUUGCAAUUAACCGGAUCCAGCAGUAAGAACAAAGAGUUGGAUUGUUCAAAGGGACACGGUAAUUGCCAUGCUGAGACUGAAGAUGUAUUUUUUUUUUUGAGCGGGGAAGAUGUUUACCUGUCAGGAUGACAUGAAAAGUUGAAAACCGUGUUCCAGGAGUGAAAGCUGGGACAUCAAAUAGGUCCUGCUUCGUCAGUCUCUUCUUACCUUCCACCGGAUGAGCUUCUCUGCAAACAAAAGGAUGGCUUCCUUCCUCUGUCACAAGGAGAAGACUGGGGGGUCACUGUCAGGUUAGAUCGUUAGAUACACCAUACAGGAAAGAACAGAAAAACUAAAUACAUUAAUACAGGUCGGGUGAAGAGUUUUUUUCUCGCUGCAAAUGCACAAUUCCUAGUAUAUAUUUCAACGGUUCACAAGUACAUGUGUGAAUCAAAUCUGGGCGACAUUCGACCGAGUAAAUCAUCGAAAUGCUAAAGCGGAAAACAUUGUCAUUCUUCCUUGUACGCCUGGCUGAGAAUGGCAUUGUGGCAUGUCGGGUUGCAGGGGUAUUCACAGUCUAUUUCCUUCACCUCUCUCCGGUUAAAGAACCAGUCUCCCACUGAUUCAGCGAUGGUCUGUUCAUUGGAAUUGAAAUUGGAUUAGUAUAUCAGUAACUGACCGCAGAACCACCAGUGUGUUGUGACAGUAAAACUAUAUCACUAGUUUCAAAAAGAGUAGCUUGUUCAAAGUUCAGGGUUAUGUUCAAAAUGCCGGCUGUCAAUAGAUCAAGCUAUAUUAUGAAAUGGAAACUAUAGCAUCGCAGCACUAUUACUGCUCAGAUACAGAGCGGUGGGGGUUACCUUGCCAUUCAUUCUAGGGCCAGAUGGAGAGUGCCAAGUCAAGGCAUUCAUUGACUGACAGUGUAUAAAGCAGGAGUUGAUGAACAUGCCCCAGUCUUUUCUCUUCUUGUAUUCACUUAUAGCAUCAAGCAACUCUUUUCGGAAACCUGCAAAAACUUAUACUCGUUAAGCUGGCAUGCACACAUGUGACAUGGAAGCGACAUGUGUUAUCAAGAAGAAGGCGUGAGUGCAUAUCAUGAGUUUGCUCUAUUAUGACCUUGUAGAGUUUCAAGCUGUUUAGAAUCACAUUUAGUAAUAUCCAAUCUGCAACUUUCCCACAAACGUUCGGUGUCAGACCCUUCUGGAGACAAAACAUGUUCAACCUGGAAAACAGAAGAGUGGCAACAAUAUAUCAUGUUCAUGUUGAUGUUGUAACAGGACAUUGAAAUGUUUUUGAAAGAUAUGGAUAACUGUACCUGCCAAACAUCAUAUGCUGGAUUGAGAAUGAACAUUGGGGUGCUGAUGCCUUUUGCAACUUCGCGUGGAAAAAUACACUGGCAGGCACAUAAAAUUAAGGAGCACUACUUAGCAUGCAUGAGGUCGAACAGUAAUGACUAAACCAAUGAUACUACUACUAAACUAUCAAAUGGCAACAAACGAAAGGAUAACCUGCCCUGGCUCCAUAUUUGAACUGCAACGAGGAAACUUUUUCCGCAGAUCCUGCAACAAAUUGUUCAGAAAAGACAUGAAACUUGCAGAUAAGACUAAUACAAUAAAAGGAGGUCCAUUGGAGGGGGGAGAGCUCUAUUGUCCUAGGGACAGGGACAGGGAGAGACCUGUAGGCGAGCAACAUCAUUGUAAAAUCCCCGCAUAUACCUUCUCCCAGAAACGUCUUCUCUGCAAUGAACCAAAGGGAAGGACCAGUCAAAACAGAGCGAGCAGUGCUUGUGGAUUGCUUAUGGGUAGUCCCUCAAGAGAAGUAUUAUGUUAGGCUGUGCAUAUGUUAACUACCGAAGUGGAAGUGUGAAUUAUGGUUACAGGAUAUCAUGUUAAAUGUCAGAAACCAGAAGCAUGCACAGCGAACUCACUGAACCAGCUGAUUCGUCUCGGGUGCACACAUGAUUCUCUCUUUUGGCUAGUUUUUACAAUUGGUUUAAAAUAUAAACAUUUAGGCAUCCAAAACUAACAUCAAGAUGAGGUUUUCAAAAGGUUCCAUGUGACAACUGAGUAGUGUCACAUGCUUAGACUGAACUGAAGCAGAUAUCAGUAUGAAUAAAUUAAUGCAUGUAUACGUUAGAACAGUCAAAUAGGGAGGAGGGGGUGGGGAUUGGGGAAAUACAACUUAAGAAAAAUAAAAUCAAGCACAUACACGUCAAGAAAAAAACCACCAUCCGCAAGACACUUAACAGUAGAUGCCUUUGGUACAAGGGCACGAAAGUCAUCACAGUGAAUGUAAGUGGAUAGACCCCCAGCCGAGCACCCCGUUAGAAAAGCCUGAAAUUGUAGGAAAUUAAGAGUUUUAAGAAAUCACAACAAAAGAAUCUUUGAUGCAUUCAUGGAGAAGUGAUAUCAUCAUAUCAAUAGAAAAGAUGAAGAAAAAACACUGUGUUAUCUAGCGACUGAUUAUCAUAUCAAUAGAAAGGCUGCCAAUCUAUGUCUUAUUUUCUUUGGGGGCUGGGGCGAAAAGUUGUUGGUGUGAUCAGUACGAGUGGUCUUUUUAUGGCAAUGAUAAGAAAUCUUGGGACUCAUGCAUGGUUCAAAUUCCAACAUUGCUUCUAUCUCUAACCCAGAUUUCCAUAAUCACACCUAUUUUUGUAGGAAGGCUACCUCUUUAGCACGGGAUAGACCCUUCGAUAGAAGUUCACUCAUAACUGCUUCCCAGAUACGCUGACCUCUGAAGAAGAAACUGGUGCCAUCCUGUAUAGAUUACAGAGGAUUACUCAGAAUAUCUGCCACGCAAUUGAACUGUAUGAAACAGGACUUGAGAAGUAGAUUACAGAAUGUUCUCCAAACCUGUAAUUCCUCUUCAACGUUUCCAGAAAACGAAGCUCCAUCACAAUACCUUACCUUCACUUUAUUCCAAUUGUAAAAAUCUGAAGGUUUAAAUGAAAUAUUUCUGAGUGGAUGACAAAGUGUAGUUGCUAUGUGAAGACUAUUUUCCAAGAUAUUACUGAAGGAAAGACUCCUCAAAUACGAACAGAACAACCAAGAUAAUACAGUGUUUGCAACGUCCAUUCCAGUCUGAAAGAGUGAAAGUUACUCAAAGUAAAUCAGUAAUGAUCCUGAUAUUGGAUAUUUACCGGGCUGAUCAGAAAUCGAAAAGAAAAGAAAAACUAGAAUGCAGGUAAGGGAGCAGUGUAAACUGUUCACUUAUGCACUGAAGUGCAGAACAUUGAAGCUAGACAUUCUCUUUUUAUUCUAACUAACUUUGCAAACUUUUGUUAUAUCUAUCUAUCCACACGUAAAAGCAUGUAAAUUACAAGGUAGAAAGUGCCUGCUUAGAAUCUUUCAAGCUUUUCCUCAAAAAAAAUUUAUCUUUCAAGCACAGAAUACUGUCAUCAAACAGAGUUUAACGGUGGGUUGCACAUUCAGGCAGCAGCGGCUCCUGUAAAACACCAAAAUGUGUACCUGGAUUCUGCAAUUCAUCGUCGCUCAAGAUGCCAACGAACUCGGCCCGUCUCUCCAUGUAUGCGGAGGAACCAAGACUAGUCUUCUUACGCUGGGCACACCAUGUCAAAUUCCUGCACCAGCUUCCACCCUGGAGCUCAAGAACAAAAGCUUCAGCCAUCUCCAUUGAGGUGCAAGAUCAAACAGACAAACAGAAAAUGUGUCUAUUUACCUCCAAGUGGAGGAGCCAUUUGUCGGAUCCAUCCCCGAAUCCCGGGAGCCAAUGGUAUCCAGGCGGCGUCCCAUCCAAGCACACUGCGGAGAGCGUGCAAAUCAGUGAGCAUAUAAGAAACCCUAGCAAGAAGAGAAAGAGUUGAUCGAGCAAGGUGGCUGCGCCUACCUGCGCCCUUGUCCUUGGCGCCGUCGACGAGGGUGAGGUCGACGAGCGUGGGGAGGCGGUGGCCGUAGGACGGGGAGGUGGAAGAAGAGGUGGAUGGGACGGAAGCGUAGCGGGAGAGGGUGAGGAAGAAGGCGGCGGCGAGGAGCGCGGCCCCGAAUGCCGCCCCGGCGGCGCCGCGGCGGCCGAGCCGGCGCCACCAGAGGCGCAGCUGGUGCGUCGCCGGCGCGGAGGCGGUGGAGAGAGGCGGCAUGAGCAGCAGCAGGUUGGUGACGAGGAGCAGGAGCAGCAAGUGGUUGGUGGAUCUGGCGACAUCGGCGACGACUUUUUUGUUUAAGCGAAGCGGCGUGGGUCUUACAAUACUGUAUUUAUUCAGGGAGUGCCGCCGGCCGCCGCAGUGGAGUGGAGCGGGACGCGCGAGCAAUGGCGCCGGCGUUUCCGAAUCUGGAUCGGCGGUCGGUUUCGCCGGUGGCGGCGGUUUGCAAUCUCUUGCCGCCGCCGCCGGUGGCGAUGCAAACCCGGGCCGCGUAGCGCUGGCUUACAGGUGGGCUCCACCUGUAAGGGAGCGUUGCGAGGGGGCGAAUGGAAAUUUCAAAUAUUCGAAGUCUAUUGCAUCUUUAAGUUUGAAUUUUCGCUAUUAUAGCUUAGCUUGGAUUUGCGUGGGGAAACACUUGAAAAAUUGAAAUAUUUUUUCUUGGUUCAAGCAAACACUCGACACAACAAAAAAUUCAAAAAUACCAUGGAGUAGAAAAUUAUGCUCAAGUUCAAUUUUGGUGUCAUUAGGAGAAACGGAAUGGACGGAUUUUGGUGUCAUUAGGAGAAAAUUAUCAUUAUUCUUCACUCUGAUGGACAAUACAACACGAUGAUUGCUUGCUGGGUUUGAUUUUGCUUUGAAUCUUUACAUCGUAAAUUUGGCGAUAUGUCCCACUUUACUUUGGAAUUUGAUCAUAUUCUUAGACAGUAAACAAAUAUCACCGAGGCAGCCGGCUGCUGCAUGUGGGGUUGCAGGGAUAUUGGCAGUCAAUCUCCCUCACUCUUUUGCUCCUUCCAAAGUACCAAUUUCCGACAGCCUCUGCAAUGCUCUGCACCGCAAAAAUUGAAAUGAAAACUUAUCAUACCAACUCAAGUUUGAACACAAUUCAUCAAAGAUAACACGGAUAAUGGCAGCGGCGAUUUUAGAGCUACAACAAUUUUCUGUGGUUUUCUGGAUCCCCUGCUAACCUCGUUUCCGAGCCUCGGGGAGAUUGGUGAGUUCCAUGAGAUUCCAAAAAGAGUCUGGCAGUGGGUGAAGCAGGAGUCGAUGAACAGGCCCCAAUCUUGCUUAUCUUCGACGACCAACUUCAAGUCAUCGACCAUGGCGUUCCUGAAUCCUGUUGACGGCGAGGAGCAAAUAAUAACAUGUAACUGUUCCAGAAAAACAUAAAAGGGAAGAUGAUGAAGUAGUAACAUGACAGAGGGAAAUGAACAAGGUAUGCUAACCAUGCAGGACUUCAAUCUGUGUGGAGUUGCAGUUUAUUAUGUUGCCCUUGCAACUCAGCCAGGACUUGUCAGGAGCAGAUGAACCUGGCACAAGAACAUUCUGUAUCUGCAGCGAUCGAUGAACCGUGCGUGUCCAUGGGGAUUUAGACAGGAAGAAUUUUAGCAUGGAGAAGUGGAAUAGUUAUAAAAUGUGGAAGAGAAGAAAUUACCUGCCAUGAAUCAUAUGCAGAGUUGAGAAUAAACAUUGGGGUGCGGAUGCUCUUGAUAAUCUCUGCCGGGAAGAAACACUAGGAGCAACAUAAUGUCAGCGAAUGAAUUACAUGAUGACAGACAUAAUAAGCAAAUCGAAUUUCACAAUGGGAGACUACUACCUCUGUCGGCUCCUUGCUGGCAAGGCAGUCCUUGGGCAACACUUGUUUAACAUUCUGCAAUAGAUAAAAAAAACAGAUGGAAAGACAAAAAAUCAGAAUAGUUCCUUUUACAAAGCUUUUUCCUAGUAAUCAGUAGUCACACGCUUUGGAGAAGUGCAAAAGGGAUUAGAAGAUGACCAAAAAGACUUGAUUAUGAAAUUCAUGUUUUUUAAACAAGCUCCAAGCAUGUCCACAGCUUACCUGGAGGUGAACAACUCCAUCGUAGACAGACCAAAAGGACCUUUCUCCAGAUAUGUCCUUCCUGCCAAAGAAAAGUGGUAGAGCACUUGAGUUUAGUUCAGGUAGGCAUUUAAAAUGAGGGUUACAUUUACUUCCAAGCAGUCUUACGCGUCAAGAAAAAACCCGGCAUCGGGAAGGCAUUUAACUGAAACUUUGUGUGGAAACCGUGCGCUAAAAUCAUCGCAAUGCAGUAUCGUAGCAAGACCACCAGCAGAACAGCCUGUAAGGAGGGCCUGAAAUUGUGUGUACACAAUGAGACAUGGAAAUCACAAGAAUAACGAGUGGUUCUUGUUAAAAUCAUAUGGAGCUGGUAACUGAAUCAAAUUAAGUGUAUGACCUGUGUGGCGUUGGCGAGUCCUUUUCCCAUGAGUUCAUCGAUGACCGCUUCGUAGACGCGCAAUCCUCUGAAGUGGAGUGUGGUUCCAUCCUACGUAUCAUUAACAAACAGCACAUGACCUGAAGCAACCAACACAUGGUCAUUGGAUCAGCAUUCAGAUUUCAGGAAAAAAGAUCACUCACCUGAGCUUGACCUUCCGAAUCCCCAGAAAACGACCCCCCGUCGCAGUACCUUACAUAGGCUCUGUUCCAGUUGUAAAAAUCUAGCAAUGCAGUGGUCAAAAUUAGCUUAAGUAGGUAUAUCAAACAAGUUAUAAAGGGUAGUUUAUACAAACGAACAGUAAAGAGAAACAUACAAAAAAAAUGAUGGAACAGAUGCCUGGGAUGUGAGAGAAGCAGCAAAUUAACUGUGAUUACUACCAGGAUUCUGUAGCUGAUCGCUGCCGAGGAUCCCGUAACCGCCAAACUGCAACGGUUUCAUGAAUUUGGAUGAUCCAAGCUGGGACAUCCUUCGAUUGGAACACUCACUGACGGUGCUGCACCAGCCUCCUCCCUGAUGAGUGUUCUCAACGGGCAAUCAGUAACUGAAUUACUGUAAUUCAGAUGAAAGAGAAGAGGAUGGAUGGUAAUACUGGUACCACCUCUAGGUGGAUGAGCCAGCUGUUGGAUCCGGCGCCGGAGCCUCUCAGCAGAUGGUACGCCGCCGGGGUUCCAUCCAAGCACACUGAAUCCAAAUCAAAUCAAAUUAACUCAAGAUGGAUCAUGGAUGGAAGCCAAAUUACGUCCACCGGACUGAAGAGAAAGAGGCCGUAGCUCGAGUACCUGCUCCCUUCUCUUGGGCGCCGGCGAGGAGGGUCAGUGCGACGGGCUCCGGCAGCCUGCUGCUGCUGCGACGGAGAAGAAGGCCGGUGGCGGCGGCGGCCAGAAGCAGGGCCGCGGCGACACAGGCGGCGGCGCGGCUGGCUGCUGGUGGUCGACGGCCAUGGCGGAGGAGCGGCUGAUCGGCGUCCGCCAUGGACUGAAAUUGUGUGUUUAAUUUUGAAGAUUGCUGGGUUCCAUCGAUCUGGAUUUCGUCUUCUUCUACUCCGUACUAGUAUUAAUCUAAAGCAAAUUGCAAAUGCAUGUGCUCCACUAUUAAAUGAUGGAAGAGACCCGGGAAACGCGUUGGCGGGAGUUUUAUAAUAGUACCAUUUUCAAAUGCUAAUGCCAAGCUUAAUCGGGUAUACUCCGUAGAGUAGUGAAUUCAGUUGUGCAGCACCGUUGUGCAGUUGCAGCUGUGGUUUCUGAGAACAUUGCAACGCGAUGAUUAGGAGACAACAUUUGAAGUAAACUUUAUUUAGUGCCAUACACUCUUGUUAUUUAAUGCAAUCCUUAUACAGCUUCUGUGCAGAUUAUUUAGCUUUUACAUGAAUAUUUGCUCAUUGCUCAAAGUCGAUUUUCUCGUCGUCUCCGCCACACCUAAAAUUUUGGGUUCGCCACCGAUAGUAGAGAAUGAGGCAGACGGCCAUGUGGGGCUGCUGCAUGUGGGGUUGCAUGGAUACAGGCAGUCAAUCUCUUUCACUCUUUUGCUUCUUCCAAAGUGCCAAUCUCCAACAGCCUCUGCAAUACUCUGCUCCACAAAAAUGGCAAACCAAAAACAUAUCAAGCAAAGUAACAACAAUGGGUUCGGCGUUUUUUACGGUCUACAGUUUUUGGCAGUUUUUCUAAAAAUUUCUGCUAACCUUGUUUCCAAGUCUUGUUGAGACUGGUGAAUUCCAUGAGGUGCCAGAAAGAGUCUGGCAGUGGGUGAAGCAUGAGUCGAUGAACAAUCCCCAGUCCUGCUUAUCUUCAACGACGACCUUCAAGUCAUCGACCAUUGUAUUCCUGAAUCCUGUCGAUGGUGAAGAACAAAUACACAGUGUUUUAGGAAACAGAAAAAGGCAGAAGUACCAAGUGACAAAAGGAAAGAUAAACGGAUCGACAAGCAGAGCCAACCAUCGAGGACUUUGAUUUGGGUGGAAUUGCAGUUUGCGAGGUUUUCCCUGCAACUCAACCAUGACUUAUCAGGAGCAGAUGAGCCUGGCACAAGAACAUAUUGUAUCUACGGCACGAAGAAGCGUAGAUUAAUAGUGAGAAUUUGAACAGAGAGAAGUGGAUAUCAGAAGACCAAGAAGAAAAAGAUUGAAAACCACCUGCCAUGAGUCAUAUCCAGAGUUGAGAAUAAAUAUGGGGGUGUGGAUGCUCUUAAUAAGUUCGGCUGGAAAGAAACACUAGGCACUAUAUUAUGUCAGCAAAUGAGCUUGCCGACAAGAUCGGAAGUGUGGGGGAGCGAAUUGAAUUAGACAAGAGAGAAUCACCUCCGUCGGCUCCUUGUUUGCGAGGCAGUCCUUGGGCAACACUUUUCUAACAUUCUGAAAUAAAAACAGCACAAAAAUACAGAUGGAUAAAUCAUUCGUGUACAAAGUGGCAUCAAUUACAUGAAAAUAUGCAAUUAUGGCAUUUGCAAAGCUUCUGUAGAAGUCACGCUUUGGAUAAGUACAAAGGGGGAUGAGAAGAUGACCAGAAGACUUGAUUAUAAAACAAGGAAUCUCUUUUAAAAGCUUCAAGCACGUGACACAGCUUACCUGCAGGUGAACAACACCAUUGUAGACAGACCAAAAGGACCUUUGUCCAGAUAUAUCCUUUCUGUCAGAGAAAAGUGUUACUUUAGUUGAGGUGCAGUGCUAGUGGAUUACAUUUAUUUUCAAGCAGUCUUACACGUCAAGAAAAAACCCAGCAUCAGCAAGGCAUUUAACUGAAACUUCAUGGGGAAACCGUGCACUGAAAUCAUCACAAUGCAGUAUCGUAGCCAGACCACCAGCAGAACAACCUGUAAGGAGGACCUGAAAAAUGUGUAGAAAGAUGAGGUUAUUUCAUUUCAUGUGGCUCUUGUUCACAGCUGAAUAAUAAUGGUCCUUGCUGAAACUGUCAGAAUAACCGAUGGUUAUUGGUAGAAUCAUAUGAACUCGGUAAAUUAAGUAUGACCUGUGUAGCAUUGGCUAGUCCUUUUCCCAUGAGUUCGUCAAUAACCGCUUCGUAAAUGCGCAAUCCUUUGAAGUGAAGUGUGGUUCCAUCCUAUACAUCAUUACCAAUUAACAUCACUUGAAGCAAUCAAGACAGCGACUUCGGAUCAGGAUUUCAGAGAAAGAUCACCUGAGCUUGACCCUCUGCAUCUCCAGAAAACGACGCCCCGUCACAAUACCGAACAUAGACUCUGUUCCAGUUGUAGAAAUCUAGUAUUCACAGAUUAACAUUAGUGGAAGAACAUAUGGAAAAGUAAAAAAAGAUAUGUAAGUUUGACAAUCGAAAUGAGCAGUAAAAGGGACAUGAGGAAGAGAUAGGGACUAGUCUUGUGAGAGAAGCGUCGAUCAGUAAUUACCAGGAUUCUGUAGCUGGUCACUGCCAAAUAUCCCAGCGCCGGCAAACUGCAACGGUUUCAUGAAGUUGGAUGAACCGAGCUGGGACAUCCUGCGAUUGGAGCAAUCCUUGACAGUGCUGCACCAGCCUCCUCCCUGAAGUGUUCUCAACGGGCGAACAAACAAACAUAUAUUAGGACAGUUAAUUGAGCACCCUGCAUCAAGUCUACUGCUUACUAAACACCCUCAAUCCUCAAUGAUCAUGAACACCUCUAGAUGAGUGAUAAAUACUGAAAUUAACCACCUCUAGAUGGACGAGCCAGCUGUUGGAUCCGGAGCCGGACCCUCUGAUCAGGUGGUAACCCGGCGGGGUUCCAUCCAAGCACACUGCGUAGGGGAGCCAACGGAUCGAUGAGAUUCAGACUAGCAUUUAACUCGAGAAAGAAAGAAGCCAAUAGGGUUUUUUUUUUGAAAAAAAGAAGAAGCCAAUAGGUAAUUUGAUCGAACACCUUACCUGCUCCCUUCUCCCGGGCGCCAGCGAGGAGGGUCAGCGCGACGGGCUCCGGCAUCCUGCUGCUGCGGCGGAGAGGGCCCGGGGCCGCGGCCACCAGCAGCAGGAGGAGGAGGACCGCCGCGGCGAAUCCCCAGGCGGCGGCGCGGUUGGCUGGUCGACGAUGCCGCUGCGGUAGGACUAGGAGGAGCGGCUGCUCGGUGUCCGCCAUGGUCGUGGCGGGUAAGCGGGGAAGGAAACUGCGUGCUGAGGACAGCGAGGUUGGAUGCUGGAUGCGGCAUGAUUCCUGCUUCUUCUCCUUCUUGUUGUAAUCGAGAGAGAUUGUCGUGGACUCCACUCCACCAGUAGUUAGCUCUGUUCUGCUACGUCCUUCCUCCUGUCCUCUUCUCCUGCCGUUUGUUGGCGCGUUGCUGCGAGGACAAACAAAAAAAAACCGUGCGAAAGUUUAUAAAAUCAAAUUUUUGUUUAAUUUAAAACUGCUUGCUGAAUAGCCUCUUUAAGAGUUUCAGCCCUACUACACCAUUUCUGCAUCUUCGUUGGACAACACGUUGAAUGGAAAACAGUCUCUGGAUUCAGAUAUAAACCACAGCCAAGAACAGGUGCAGCAGCGUGGAUUAAUCUCCAAAAUACGCAAUAUACCAGUACAGGAUCACAGGAUCAGUCGCUACAAAACUAAACGACUGGCUAACUGACUGGUUUGAAACAUCGCCGCAAGUAAGAAUUAUCUCACCUCACAUUGGGGGGUUUGUUUAUUUAUUUAUCUACACACCAUCAUCAUGUAUUUACAAAACCAAAAAAAAAAACUCCCUCCUCCAGAUCACCAUUUCAGGACAAACGCACUCGGGCGGUGGUCUCUUGCGCAGGAAGCCACUCCACCAGAGCUCGCAUCUGAAAUCUCCGGCUCGCCUGAUUCAUCAGGUCAGGCGGCUAUGACCUGAGAAACGAAAAGAAACAAAGAAAAAGGUCAUCAGCAUUAUCCGUCGCACCGCACAGGUUCGCCAGGAAGAAUGAAAGGGCAACAGUUUUUUGUAGCCUCAUACCAGCGCACAGGGAUUACGGACACCGUCGUGGCCGCUUUUCUUGGCGCCCCGGUUCCCGCUGCGCGACUUCCUCUUAUGCUUCUGUUUCUGCUGGUUCUUGUCCUUCUUCUUAGACCUGGGCCUCUGCUGUUGGUCGCUCUUCACCGAAUGGUCAACAGAAGUGACCGGGGGGUCGUACACAUCCGGGUCCCACUUCACGCGGCGGUUCUCAGCCAGCAAUGCUUCCCCGCUUUUCUCACGGCCUCCUUUCAUAGCAGAGAUGAGCCUCGGCAUCGGCUGGAUAGAUAUAGAACGGAGGAAUGAGGGUGGAUAAUUUUAACUCAAGCCACCCCAAGGGUAAAAUUAACUAUACAUGGUAGAAAUGAGAAUGCUGUCGAAAUUACAGUAUCAUCUAUCAGAAAUGUGAAGCUCAAAUGUACAAAUACCAGGCAGGAAGAGAACUAUACUAAGUGGCUAAGAGCAGUUUCAGGAUCAUUUAGCGUUGCAUGUUUAAGCUUGGCUUAUUCAUAUUGACAUCACAGAGUGCCAAGCCUACACUACUAGAAAUAAUAGUUUGAUAGGCUCCUCUGCAACAAAUACUACAAUUGGCCUGGGAAUUUAUAAUGAAUGGAAUGGGCACAAUAAUGAGUCAAAUAUAUUUUUCCUAAAUUAAUAUUUCCAAAGCAGAAAGGAUCAGUUAGCAUUGCAGUUUUUGUUCAUACAGAUAAUCCGAGAUGUAUAAUUUUCCAUAACACCAUACGCUAAGAGCAUCGAUAGACAACUAAAGCAAGCUCAACAAAAUUUAUCAAGUUGAACUCACCGGAAGGGACACUGCACGCUCGUAAGUGGAGGGUUCCUUUGAUUCGCUGUCUUCCAAGGCAUUAUGGGAGUUCCCAUCAUCUCCUUUGCCUCUCUUUGUUCCUGAGCUGGUAGAACCUGAGAUAUCCACUUCAAUCUCCAAAGACUCGACAUCCCUGCCUUGUUUAUGAGUUGCAUCCUCGCUAUGAUGGAGUUCCCCAACAGAACAUGGAGUUUUCCCUGCUGGAGGAAAUCCCUCCUCUAGCAGUGCUGCGUGAUCCUCCAUUGGUACUCCUUCAGAACCACAAGGCAAAUCACCCAUGAAGUUGUUUACCACUGCAAUAAAUCUGUUAGGUAUUAGUGGUACACAUAGAGAACUAGAAUCUACUCCCUCAGUUCCUAAAUACUUGUCGUGGUUUUAGUGCAAAUUUGCACUAAAACCACGACAAGUAUUUAGGAACGGAGGGAGUACUAUUUAUCAUAGAAAAAAAUAUCAUGGUUAUUGCCAAAGUGAAAUUGUAGGAAGAGACCACUUUGCUUGUGUUUAUUAGAGUAUAAUCAUAGGGUCGUGAUAAGGAUCAUGUAAAGUGCCAAUAACUAAUUAAAAUUCCAAAGAACUAAUCUUUUCUCAAGCAAUGUUAAAUUGUGGGUGCAAAUUGACUACAUUGAGUCGAGGAUGACCACGAAAGACAUUGGAAACAUGUUGACAAUAAUUUGAAUGAUACACGUGUAUCCGCAGUGAUCAGCACGCCACGAAAACCCAGUGUCCGGUUCGGUCUUACACAUUUAAUCGUCGAAUCUGCGAUCCCCUCUACAUACCGGGUCCGGACAUCCGUGAAUGCAGAAUCCAGUUUGCAGGCAUAACCAAAUCAUUAACAAGAACAAGGCAGGACUAACUAACUAUGCAAGGAUCGUACUAACAAGCAGGUCACAGCAAUCUUUGAACUACUCUCUCGUGUGCCGUCACGGUGAUCCCCCUCUAUAUACCCGGCCAUUCACUUGAAUACACGAUACAUCCGUGAAUGCAGAACCCAGUUUGCAGGCAUAAGUAAAUGAUUAGCGUAUUACCUCUACAGAUCCACGGACGGACGAACAGAUCAAGGAUUCCGCGGCGCGUCGGAUGCGGGGAGGCAGGUGGCAGACGAGAGAGUGGCGAGGGGGAGAAGUUCAAGUAGUGCUGAGAUACGAGCACGUUUAUAGGAAGCGAAGGGAGCUAGGCGAGCAGGGGAAUGGAAUCAGGAGAAGGAGGAGGAGAGGUGGGGGUGCCAGGAAGAGGAUAUGGAAGGCUUGAGGCGGUGGGAGCAGGAGGCGGAGGGGACGAGGGCGUCGCCGAAUGAGAAGGAGAAGGAGGCUGGGGCGGCGCCCAGCGCCGGUUGCAUCGCGGCCGCCUCCGCGCCGGUGGGGCGGCGGUCGACGGUGCGGAUGAGGGGGAGAUUGCUCGCCGGCAGCGGCAGCGCCGUCAGUGAGGUCAGAUCUGGCUGGCUGGAUGGAAGUGGAAGGGAAGGCGAGUCUGAGCGGAGACGACGACUGAGGCAAGUAUAUUGUCUGAAGAGAGGAACACUGGGCUGGGCUUGGAUAUGCCUGUUCUAGAAGGCCCAUUUUGCCCAAACAAGAUCAACGCCCAUGUAACAAACUGUUUGACUAAUUUUUGUUUCAGACAAAAACCUUUUUUUCGAAACUAUUCUAAGCCCUGGAUAAAACUCCCACCUAAACGAUCUUCCUCCAGCUAAUUAUCGAUGAGACAAAACAAAAUUGUCGAUGAGAUAUUCCAUGUCCCCCAGUCUCCCACAUACAUCGUCUGGGACACUUUUAUCGGCUACCACAAAAGCUUUUCGUCCGAGAUCAUUGCCGAGUAUAACUUGAUAGCCGCCUUCAACAAUGGAAGACGCUAUACUAAUUGGGUUAUCAACUGGAUUAUGGCAUUUAACUUCCUCACUCGUCACAACUUCCUUUCUUGUGCGCGAUAUGCUGAUGGCUCGUGGGAUGGGACACAUCAUCACACCCCACGAGGGUAUGGCGGUCUAGGGUUUUACCCGUGCACGUCGUCGGUUUUUACAGACAAGCAUGGCAUUAAGCGAGUAAUUGGGUACAUCCAUUCACUAAUUGAGACAAGUCGUCAUUGAGGUCACUGGCUUCGUGGUUGACAAGUGACUCUUUCCACCCCUCCUCGGCACCAACAUGCCCAACUCCUUCUGACACGCGACAACAAUAAUGGGCAUGAAACAUAGGCCAACAACAUACCAAUAGACAGUAUGGAAGCAAAUGCGAUUGUACACUAAUUAUACAUCAAAUGCUCUUGUGAUGCUCGUAUGUCGAUCUUCUAUUCACUAAAAGAGGCCUCAUUUCCUUUUAUAUGAGGGGAGGCCAAGGAGACGGGGAAUGGGAGCUCUGUUCUAGCGGCAUUACUACAGAAAGGCUUAUCAGUAAUGGUCGAAAAACAACAUCAGUAACGGUCGGGGCCGCCGUUACUAACUUCGUGUUACUGAUGGUGGGUAUCAUCAGUGGCGGGCAGCCUACUUGGUGACCGACAGUGAUGAGUUUUGAGCGAAAUCAAAAAAGCUCAUGGCCAGCAUAUUAUUAUGCUAGCCAUGCUUUUCUUUUUCUAAUUGUGUACAAAUUCUGCAGUACAGAUAGUAGAAGCAGUACGGGAAAAUCAACAUCAAAACGUCAAAUGCAUUCACAGCAGAAGAUAAUUAGCAAUCAAGUUGUGUGCAUUCACAGCAGAAUAGAAUUAGAAAUAAAAAAUUACAUGGUCGCAUCCAUUCACAACAAAGAUUACAAAAACAAAUCACGAAAGAAAAGCCGAUGUCCAUGAUCUGCUAUACACAACGACGAGAGGCCGGAUCCGACGGCGAUGGUCGUGGCCUGUGAGAGAGAGACAGUGAGAGAGAGAACGAGACACACACACAGAGAGAGAGAGAGAGAGUGGGGGGUUACGGGCGGCUGGCGACGGGGGAGCCCGGAUCCGGCCGCUGCUGGCUCGAGGGAGAGGCUGGAUCCGGUGCCGGAAUGGGUUGGCGCCUGCGGAUCCGGCGACGCCUCGCCACGAGGAAGGAGACCGGGGGGCGGGAAGAAGAUGGGCGGGCCUCCAUAGAAGGAUAGAGAAGAGAGCGUGAGAGAGGGAGGAUUGUGCGAGGGGAGAGGAGGGGAGGAGAUGGCGAGGGCGGAGGCGGCCAAGGACGGGAUCAGGGGCGGAUCCGGCGGCAGCUUCCCACGGCGGCGCGAGGCAGGCGGCCGGUGCCGAGGUUAGGGGUCGCCGGCUUCCCAUGGCGCUGGCAGAAGAAAGAAGGGGUGGGGCUUGGGGAUCUUGUGAGAGAAGAGAUCGCGCGGGCAGAAGAGAGGGAGAGAAGAUCGCGUGAGAGAAGAGAGCAGAGGGAGAGUUCGGGGGAGAGAAGAGAGAAGGGGUGGGGCUUGGGGAGGGGUUAUUUAUACCACCCUCUCAAACCAUAGCAAAUACUGGGCGGGCCAAAUUAAAGAGCUAGGCAGAAAUGUCUCCAGAGCUCAUCAGGGGCGGGCUUAGAUUUCAAGCCCGCCACUGAUGUGUGUUUUUGUGAAUUUUGUUAUUUUUCACAUCGAAUCAUUAGUGACGGGCCUCGCGAGCCCGUUACUGAUGAGUGGUCAUGAGUGACGGGCUCUGUGUGCCCGUUACUGAUGAGUGGUCAUCAAUGACGGGCGUGGUGUGCCUGUGACUGAUGAUGGUCAUCAGUGACGGGAAUGAAAGGCCCAUCACUGAUGACUCGUCACGUAUACACUGUUUUGUAGUAGUGCGGCGACGGCUCUUCAUCUCAGUGGAGAAGCUAGGAAGACAUCUCAUGGGAGGAGAAUCCUACAACACUAUGUUUUGGACAUAUGAAUCCGGGCUUCCAAUUGCCCAUCUGGUAUUUGAAGGCCCAGAAUCCACUGAUUGGAUGUUUUUGGCAUUGGCGCGUGGAAAUCAAAACCAAUUUCGAGCCUGCUCACGGGCGCCUCCAUUUAUUACACUGCAACGCAUAGCCCCACACCCUUGGUUUUUGCCUAUAAUUGGGAUCUCAUGUACUUAUUCGAACGAAACCCACAAGGAGAGCCCCGUGCGAGCUCGGGAGAAGACGAGACCCAACGCGAUUCACCCCGGCGGCGGCGACGACGCAUGUUGCCCCCUCCCACCCUCUUCCUCCUCCUCCUCCCUCAGCCGUCCCUUCCCUCCAGCAGCCCCCCUCCAACCCUAGGUCAACGGGUGGGAGGCGGAACUACGACAGCGGCUGACUAGGAGGCCGAGAUUGUCCACCUUUGCAUCUCCCCAAGCCGACCUCUUCUUGGGCCUCUUCUUCCGCUUCGAAUACUUUCCUCGUAGUUGCAGCCGAAAUCAUCAUUUUUUGGGGGGCUAAUCGUUAGAUCUGUUGCAAUUGAACAAUUCCGUGAGAAGUGGUAACACGUGAGGCCGAUUGGAGGUAGUAUGAUCUUUCCUAUUUUUCUGCUCUAAUGUGAUAUGAUUUCAUAAUACAUAUGUGAUGGUGUUUGUUCUGGAAAAUUAGUGCCUAGACUCCGAAAAUCAAUUCACAAAUUGGUGCCUCCCAAGUCCCAACGCGGGCAGUGAAAUUAUUUCCUGCUGCUGCGAAAUUUUGGAAUCCCGUUUCCACUAAUCGGAAAAAGCACACCCCAAUAGGCAAUAGCGAAGAGAGAAAAUCCCAGCGUUCUGAUUGGUCCGUCCGACCGUCCCACGGAUCGCGCCCCCCCCGGAAAGAAUCCCAGCCGCCCGAUCCUCCCAGAUCCAACGGCGGGCCCACCACGUCACGCGGAUCGGGGCCUCCGGGCCCUCCCAUAAAAUCUGCGUCCUUCCACGUCAUUCCAAACUACUCCAAAUUUCAAAAUCCGCCGCAGAAGCCGAAGCCUCGUCCCCAUUUGAAAUCCACCGCAGUCCAGAAGGUUCAGCUCGUCGGAGAAGAUGGCCGGGAGGAAGGCCGGAGGGGAGAGGAAGAAGGCGGUGUCGCGGUCCGUCAAGGCCGGGCUAACGUUCCCCGUCGGCCGCAUCGGGCGCUACCUCAAGCACGGCCGCUACGCCAAGCGCGUCGGCUUCGGCGCCCCCGUCUUCCUCGCCGCCGUCCUCGAGUACCUCGCCGCCGAGGUAACCACAACACUCAGCAGCGUGCCUCUUUGCUCUCAACCAUCUCGUCUCGAUUCCUGUUCCGUUCGUCGGCUGAUUUCGUUUUUCCGUGGAAUGUUGUUGUUGUUUCAGGUCCUGGAGCUCGCCGGGAACGCGGCCACGGACAACAAGAGGAAGAGCAUCAUGCCGCGCCACCUGCUGCUCGCCAUCCGCAACGACGACGAGCUCGGCAAGCUGCUGGCCGGCGUCACCAUCGCCCACGGCGGCGUGCUGCCCAACAUCCACUCCGUGCUGCUCCCCAAGAGGGCCGCUGAGAAGGCCGCCGCCGCCGACGACGAGAAGGAGUCGCAGUGGCCCAAGAAGAAGAAGACCGUCGCCAAGAAGCCCGCUGCUGCCGCUGAGGACGCUGCCGACGGCGACGCGGACGCGGGCGCCGCCGCUGAGGAGUAGCUCCGUUUGGUCUGGCCUGCAUUGCAUAGGGGAGGGAUGGGAUUGCGUUUUUGCUGAUUAGUUCCAAAUGAGAGGGGGGUGAUACCUUUUGCUUAGUAACUGUAUGUAUUGGUGGUGGUGGUUCAACAUAACAACUAGUAGUGCUUGAUGUCGAGUUCUUUGGUAAUGGAAGCUUAGAACUGAACUGUUUUUGCAGUCUGAUCAUCUACUCAAUCGGUGCAAUAAUUUUGUUGCAACCUCCUAUCCUAUGUGCUGUUUCUCUUUGUUAAUUCUUCACUGUAUCUCGAUCACGAGGCGCCUUGUGAUUUGAUUUCCUUUGUGCUACCAGUAGAUUUUAGAUUGUGUUCUCUUUGUUUUUCUGCUGUGGCUUGUGAGGAUGAUUGGUGUAAUAACUAGGUUGAACGGGGUGUAAAUCGUAAAUGUUGGUAGGGAUGGUCUGAUUCGAGCGGACUGAGCUCUGUUGUUGUUUUGGGUUCUUUUCUAGGGUUUACCGGGGAUGCUGAUUUGGGGAGGGAAGGCGUUGGCUUCUUCUACCAUUCCUUUGCGGAAUCUGCUGAAUCGAAGUGCCAAUUUCUCCUCAUGCUCCAAAUUGUUCGUCGGAGGUAAGAUUUCGUACAUCUCUCUCGUCCUGUGUACGCAUGUUCUGCAGUUUCUGGUCGAUUCGUUUGAAGCCCGUAUACUCCUGGUCUUGAGUUUCUAGUCAAUUUGUUCGAUGCUUGUAUCCAAACAAUUUUCUUCAGAUCGGUUGUGCUUCCUGUUAAGACUUAAGACAUUGUAAUUUGCUAACCUACCUAGGAAGAUGGGGCUUCCUGCUGAACUGCGAAUCGUCCUGAUUUGCUGUUUGGAAAUGUUGUGCAUCAUAUUGUCUCUUGAAAUUCAUGCUAGCACUAUCUCUGACUUCAACUAAAUGUAAAUGUUAGGAAGAAUUUUCCUGAACAUCAAACAAUGCAUGCCUAGUGCUGACUUAUGUUUUGAUGGCCUGCUUUUUCUUCCAUUGAGGUUACAGGUUUGUCCUAUGACACCAAUGAAAUUGCUCUGAAGGAUGCAUUCUCUCAGCACGGUACUGUUACCGAAGGUGCUUCUCUAUCUGCUUUGACUCUGUUUGGUGUUUGAUCUGUGAUUUGUGUGGAUUUGGGGUUGUCCUUGUCCCCUAACUGAUGGAUUUGUCCGACAGUGAAAGUAAUAUGUCAUCCUGUGACGGGGAGAUCGAAAGGAUAUGGGUUUGUCAAGUUCUCUUCAGAAAGUGAAGCUGCUGCAGCAUUGGAGAAGAUGAGCAAUGAGGUAAAAUGUGCUUCACUGCAUCUGUAGAUAUGGCACGAGUCAGUGCAAUUCUUUUCCUUUUGCUAACACAAUUUAUCCACAUGAUAAUCGUUUCAGUUGCUCGACGGAAGGAACAUACGUGUACACUAUGCAAACAGCGGAUAAUCUGCGGCUGCUGUUGAGAUUGGUAAGUUGCUUAUUCGAUAUCAUUUCUUUUGUUUGGAACCUGUGAUGUUAGAUGAACCCCUAAACAUAGCUCUUGAGUAUUGAUUAUUUCAUUCAGGUUCUCUCUAAAUUCCCGUUGCAAUUUCUAAACCAGCCUGGGGCGUCUCUAAAUUCCCGUGCCAUUCUCUACUAGAACAGAUUUGGGGGGUCUAUUUUAGGUAGUGCUGCUGGAGGAAACAACGAAAUUUGGGUAGAAUGAAAAAAUUCAGUAGCUACCUAAACAGAGAAGUAGUGGGUGUGUUUCAGGUAGUAUUGCACGAAAGGUACCUCAUUGUCGUCGCCACCGAAUGAGAUCUAAUUCCCGAGCUGAAGGGCGUUCUUCUGCUGCUUGAAUCUUCCCUAUCUGUAAGGAAGAAACUCUAAGAUCCGUUGAUAAGCAUCGAUGACAACUAUAACACAGGAAAAUGAGCUUUUGUACCUUGUGUCAUGGUGUGAAAGUAAUAUGGAGGCUUGGGGGUGGAGUCUGCAAAUCAGUAAUGGGAGUGAUUACAGAGAAGAAAACCACAGGAAACAUCUACAGGAUAGUAAAUAUGCAAGGUAAAAAUGAACAACAAGGAACUCACAUGCAUCGUGAAGCAGCGGUGGAGACUGUUCACUGUCCGAAAUCAACUGGGAGGAAGGAGUGCAUUGACCAACCCCAGUAGGCAGAGGACCACCAUUUAGUUUAUCUUCGGCCGCAUGCUCAGUGCUGGAGCAUCAUUUUUGUUUGGAGUAGCUUCAUGCAUCUGUGCUGGAGCACCAUCCUGGGUCGAUCAUGGGCAUCGGUUUAUCUUCUCACUGCAUGCAUCUGUGUAUUUUCUUUAUUUAAAAGUUGAGUUUUCGGAAUUUUGGAAAGAAAGAAAUAGUGCCCCAUUUUGUUGAUGAGCACAGCAAGGGGCGGUAGGAAUGUCCUUUAUUUGUGACUUGCUAUAACACAAAGAAGUGCAAUUCUCUUUCUUAUUUUAUUAAAAUAGAUAGCUUUGUGCAGCUUGUUUCAUUCGUUGAGUCGUACGUAUGUUUUGUUUAUGCGCCUUGUAUGGUAGAUUGCUUCCAUUGAACUCACACCUUAUACCAUUGUGUCUAGUCCCACCGGCCUACUAUGCCCAGAGUGGCGCAGUCGAUGCAGUCCUAGAAUGGAGAAGAAAGAAUGAAGAAAAGAUGAAGUAACCCUUCCAAGAGAUAAUAAAUGAGAUGCUCUAUGUAUUAACUCAAGUGCAAGGUUCAUUUCUUCCUGUUGAACAGACGUGAUAUUUGUCAACCUGAUGGUCAUGUGGAUAUUUAGUUUUGUUAAUGUUAACAGUUUGGAUAAAAUUUGCUCACAUUGAAUGAGAUGUUCUUAUUUUAGAAGGAUGCUAUCGUGUUUAAUCAUGUGCGUUGAGAGCUCUUAUUUAUUUAGGGUAGAUUUACAUGAGUGAUUGCAUUGUUAGCCUUAUUUGUUGUAGAUUUGUGAGUGGUUGCAUUUUUAAGCUAGAACAACACUUACAUUUGAAAAUUUUGAUUGAAGAAGAAAAAAACGCUAGUUUCAGAUGUACGGCUCCCAGCGCUAAUGGGGCGACUUAUUAGUACACUCUGUUCGUUGUGGCCACUUAGACCUAAUUUUGGUCGGUUACCCUUCCGUUUUGUACUUUUGGUAUGUCCAAAAGCCUGUGUGUGUAGGGUGAUUUACACCAGAUUUGUUCUAGCUUUUAAAUAUGGGCUACUCACUCUGUUUUUGGUAUGUACAAAUGUUCUAGGUUCAGGAAAAAAUAUUCCAGCAUUUUAAAAAACAUUCCAAAAAAAUUAUCCAAAUAUUGUCAAGUAUGGUCUUAUUUCAAAAAUCUCACCAUAAGAAACAUAAUUGUGCAAACGAAAUUUAAUUUGCACACCUGAUUUCUUUUGUUUUUAAUCAUGGUGGGCUUUGUUGGUACUGGGCCUUAUUGGGCCAAAAUUGCAGUAGGAAGAGGGCUGUCGUACUUAAAAAAAAACUUUGUAGAGUUGCACUUUAUUUUAAAUUUUUUGGCUAUGGUGGUAUAUGACUGCACUGCAAGCUUGUAACUAUUGAUUGUACUUUCUUAAAAAAGCUUAUUGAUCGUACUAGAGCUACAUGGGGAGGAAAUUUUCCUGCAGGGUGCGAAGAAUGAAUCUGUAGUUGUGAGGAUAGACAACUGACGAAAUGGUCCAGCUGCAUAUCUGAGGAUUCUGUCAAGAUUCAUACUUUCCUGCAGGGUGCGAAGAACGAAUCUGAUGUGGAAACUUAAAGUCCCCCCCAAGAUUCAUACUUUCCUGUGGCUGCUGGCCAAAAACAAACUUCCCACUAGAGACAACUUAGAAAAAAGGAAAAUGGGAAAACCUACUGAUUGUGUAUUCUGUGCUCAGAAGGAAUCGAUUAAUCAUUUGUUUUUUGAAUGUGCUGUAGCUCAGUGUGUCUGGGCUGAGUUUAAUUCUAUGUUUCAACAGCACAUUUCAGAUUUUGUUUCUCUCGCUGGACAUUGGGUUAAUCAUAAGACGAUGGCUGUGCUUAACCUAAUGUCAGCAGCAGUCCUGUAGGGGCUGUGGAAAUGUAGAAAUGACAUUGUAUUUAACAAUGGCAUUGGUUGAACAUCAAGCAGGUGUGCGGGCUGGUGCUUCGGCAUGUCAACUUCUGGAGCUUCCCCCUAAAAGAACCUGCUCAGGAGGCUCUAUCCUAAGGUGCAACUCGGAUCCUGGGAUUUCUGAGACAGCCCUUGCUGCUGUCUUAGAAGGUGACUGGCUGCGCCUGGAGAUGCUGAAGGAGUCGACAAUGUUCAAGCCUGUCGUCAUCGAUGUUGGGGAUGAGGCACCAGGCGUGGCGGUCCACUCGUUCUACAUGUACUGAGGACCUGCUUUUCAGAUCUGCGAGUAGGAAGUUUUGUAAUCUGUCCAGUAGUUUGCUCGUUUAGGCGUUUUAUUGCUGUUCGGUACUAAGGCCUUUGUGGACCUGGAGACUUUGUUUCGGUUGGUGAGCCUGACGCUGGGGCUUCAUCUUUAUAAAAAAGAUGGCGACCCCUGUUUUUCUAAAAAUUAUUUGCUGCUUCUUUCUGAAUUUAAGUGCAGUUCGUAAAUUAAUUACAAGCAUCCCUUAUCUGCCUUCAAUUCUUUAGCCUGAAAACUUCUGUUUGAUAUAUAACUGUCAGUGGCUUGUUUAUAUGACUUUUAAAAUGCCGUUUGGCAGUGUAAUGGCGGAAGAAAUGACACAGCUUGUGAGACUAAAUGCACUUAAUAUUGCUAAUUCUUUUGAUGCAGGAACUAUGAAACGCCAGUGUUCCUUUUGUUGACAAGCAUGUCCUGAACCUUAGCUUUGGUCAAGUGAAUUCGGGUAUUCCAGAAAAUCCACAUCACAGUCAGUUGAUGUUACUUAACCUGUUUAGUUCUUCCUUCUCUAGAGCACAUGUUUACCAGUGAGAUGAUUUGCACUUGGAACUGGAAAAAGGGGGGAAGUGCACUGAGCACAUGUUUACCUUCUCAGGUUUUGGACUGUAGACAAGGCAACAUUUUUUAAAAACCAAAGCUGCCUCUUAUUUUUGUUCUGAGAUUGCCAACUCUGCUUUGUGUCAUAGAUAUAUAACUGUCAGUGGCUUAAGCAACAGGAUGAUUGAUUCAGCACAAAUGGGUAAAAAAAAAAUACCAUAAAUCUCAUAUUCAGCGCAACCAGCCAAGAAUAUUACAUAUGGUAGCUGGAAAAAGAAUGCCUUCUUUACCUGGCCUAGUGCCUUAAUUCAGGCUUGAGAUGAGCUGUAGCUCAUGAUAUACUAGAGUAUAUAUAUAUGUAGGAAACAGAAAACAAGAAUGUAUAUGUGUUUAUGAAGUAACAUCUGGAUCCACAGUAAUUUUUCGUCAACAUCUUCCAGCAAGCGACAAGGCAGCAGAUGCCUACCUCCUUAGGCCCUCAACAAUGUAGGUAGCAUAAAGAUCCCUGAAACAAAAUGUUGCAACAUGAGCUGACUGAUAUGAUGACUUGGAUAGACAUGAUUCAAUAAGAAACCGUAUAUAGCUGAGGUUGAGAACUGACAUGGAAUGCUGAAUGGCCUCGUAAGCAUCAUUUGAAGGGAGGAAGUCAUUGACAGCCACCUCCUUGUUCUCAUUCUUCUUGUCUGAAUUCCCAAAUUAAAGAAACUAUAUAGUUGGCCAAAGAAGUAGGCAUAGCAUGUAGUUUCCAAUACACAUGGUGACUGGUCAGAAGUAUUGAAGAAUCCAACUACUUCUAGCUAUUUCCAAGAUCUAGAGUUACCAAGUGUCUGUCUAAUAAAAAAGGGAAACUGGCAUAAGCGAUUAACACAUAAGAAAAGGAUACAGUCCUCGAAGAAACGCCUGAUUUCAGCGAGACGGUGGGGAGGGAGGUCCUUGAUGUCAUUGAAGUGCCUGUACUCGGGAUCGUCGGCGCAGACGGCGAUGAUCUUGUCAUCGGCCUCUCCCUGUCAACAAGAAGAUGGAGCUUGGUCAGACAACAACGAAAAAGCAAGAGACGUUGUUGGUCAGUAGACAAUGAAGAACAACAACAAAAAAAAAACAGAACCUGGUCGAUCAUGGGCAUGAGCCCGAUGGCUUUUGCCCUGAGGAAGCAUCCUGGGACGACGGGCUCCUGCAUGAUGACGAGGACGUCGAUGGGGUCGCUGUCGUCGCAGAGCGUGCGAGGGAUGAAUCCGUAGUUGUGCGGGUAGACGACGGAGGAGUAGAGCACCCGGUCCACCUUGAUGAGCCCCGUCUUCUUGUCCAGCUCGUACUUGACCUUGCUCCCCUUGGGGAUCUCGAUCACGCAGUUGAAGAUGGUCGGCGCCUCGGGGCCGAUCUCCAGGUCGUGCCACGGGUGCGCCGCCACGGACCUCCGGGAGAUGGACGACAGGAUCCGCUCGUUCAGAGCCGGUGUCUUGGGCUUCUGCUGCCCGUUGGUCGCCGCUGCCACUUCCGCUGGAGGAGCCAUCUUCUUCUUGGGUUCAAUCGAUCUACCUGAAAUCAACAGAGGAAGAAGAGAGGGGAGAGAUGUGCAUAUAUUGAGUGAGAUCUGAAGAAGGUGAAAACGGGAAGAACAAGAGACGGACGCAACGCACCCUGGAACUUUGAUUUGUUUAAUCAAGGAAUCAAUCAAUCCUGUUUGCCUUUGGUGGACAAGAUGGAUGGAUGGAGAAUUGGUGCCGCCUUCCUUCUCUUCUUAUAGCCGGCCAGCCAGCCGGGGAAGAUAAGGAGACGGGCCAGGGAGGGAAGGAGGAAAUUAAAGGAAGAUCUGUAAAGCGCUGGCUGGGCCUGCAAUGGCAAAAUUAACCUCGUUGAUUAAUUCAGUCUGAAUUGCAGUGCCGGCGUCAACCUCCAUGACUCCAUGAGUGACGUGCCUCCACGUGGUACAUGGAUCAGAGUACUAAAAACUAACCUCGUUGAUUAAUUCAGUCUGACUUGGCCGACUGCCGUUGCGACGUCACCACGGCCACAUCUUAUGAUUCUUAUCCCCUCAGGAUUAGAGAUUAGAUCGAUCGGGGGAGUGUUUAUCUAGCUUUUUUCACACAAGUCACCCAAAUUCACCGACGAUUUCACGCUGCCACGUAACCAAGGUACUUGUGCCUUUGUCGGUGCCACUUAAUUUGUGCAUUGCACCGACGACGUUGAUGCUUCCUCCUGUGCAUCAUGUACUCCAAAAAGAAAAAGGAAACUAUGCAGCUGUCUCCGUGUGAUCCAACUAACCCCAAAUCACGCAUUUCAGCCUUUGGACGUGCGUGCAGGACUACUACUACUACUUCAGUUGGACGCGCUUCUAGUUGCAUUCCUGCUGGCUGCCUGGCUGGUCUCGUUAAUUUUCUUCUGCAGCACCAUGUAAUGUAAAUAUACUCCUACGUGUGUACGUAAACGUAGCUGGGGGAGAACCAUCCGCCAGAAUUUAGGACCAGUGUAUAUCCUAAACUAGUCUUGCAUUGCACAUUCACAUGCCACAGCUCAACCAAUUGUCUGCUUAAUUUAGUUUUGCUGCAAAGAUAGUGCUGGUGGAGUAGCAACAGCUAGAUAUGGCUUCUGAUAAACAAUUCAUCCCGCGCCUUGUUUGUUAGAGACCUCGCAGCUUUAUGCGGUACUAUAAUUAAUUUCGUCUAAAAUAAUGCUUACAUAUGGAGUACCUAGUCUACUAGCUGUGAUGUGAUGUUGGCAGGCGCACAUACAUCACCACCCCCUCCUCAUGACACUCUUGUUCUGCUUCUUCUUCCGGUUUGUCAGUUGAUUUUUUUUAUAAAAAAAUACUAGUGUUACUUUGAUGACACUCGAUCAAUCUGGCUCCCAACCACAACAGGGAGCACAAAAAAACCGCACUUAAGCAACAGCGCUAUGUUACUAACUUUGAGACUAGUGAUUCAAGUACGUACGAACACUUGUGAAAGCCAAAUUUUGGUGAAAUGGAAUUAUACAUGGCAUCAGUUGGGGAGUCACGUGUCAUUGGGUCGAUUUUGGGGAGAAGCAAGAGAAGCAUCGUGGACUAUCUAUGUAUGUAGCUGUUGGUGCUAUCGGAUAUCCCGUCAGAAUAUCCAUCCCAUCUGAAUUCUGAAACUCUGCGUGCUCAUGGACGCCACCGACAGCUCCCAGAGUUGAGUGGCAGACUUAUUACCUGACGGAGGAUCCAGCACCGACACACGCUCCUUCCGGCGUUCCAUCUUUCCCUUUUUUCUUUUCUUUCCUUUUCCAGUUGGGCGAGAUGCUUGGCUUAGCAAUCACAGCUCAUCGGCAUAUAUAGGAGUAUCUACCAAACGAAUCGCACAUAUACGACACCUGUAGAUUAAUGAUUCCUUAAUUAAUAUAUUUCGUGACUUCGCAUCUCGCGACUCAACAAUUAUGCAACCAACAGGAAGGCACGCACGCACGUAUGACCUCUGAAAAAAAAGAGAGGAAAAACACGGUCAAUUCUUUCCUGUACAAGAAAAAUAAGACAAGAAUCAAUACUCGCACAAACUUUUCUCCGUGCCAUCUCAUGCGCCGGAGUAUGCGAAAAUGGUGCUAGUAGAGAUGCGACGGGAGGAAUAAACUGGUUCGAUCCGUUAUUCCGGUCCGAUGGUGCUGAAUAAACUGACUGGCCUUAAAGAAGCAGCAACAUGCUAUGCACAGGCCACAACGUCCUCAAGUCAAUAUCUCACCUUCUAGACCGUCCGUUACUUUUUACCAAUUUUAUUUUCUUUUCAUUCACCACCUCCAUCUGCCCAGCACUAGUCACCCAUCAACAUAAUGCACAUGUGUUUAUGCCAUACCGUGUUUGUGUGAACAAAGAGACAGGGCAUCAAAAUAUAUGCUGAUUGAGUGCCUACAGCCGCUUGGACAAGCAGGACUAGUCCUGCCAGAAUCUGUUGACAGCUUCCUCUCUUCCUUUCGCUGCAUCAAUUUUUUUUGUUUUUUUUUGGGUGUGAUUUUAUCAUGUGUUUAGAUGAACCAAUACCAGCAGGCAGCUAGCAAUCCGUCAAGUUCUGGCAGGAUCUAGAUAACGGCUACACAGGGCCCUCUCUCAACAGCAGCUGGCUCAUCGGUACUCAGGAAUCACUCGCGAAAUUCUCCUAGCUGAGAUGGAGAAGAAGCAAUUCAGUAGUUGCGCUUCAUUUCAGAAGCCUGCAGGACCGAGAAGCAAAUACCACUAGAAAGCGGGAUAAUAACGAAACCAAACCAAACCAUCGAGGAAUUGCACUUACUUUCAUUCAUUCAGUGAGAACAGAGCAGUUUGGCUACUCCUGAUUAACUGAACCGAGACAGAACCUGAGAUGCACUGCUGUAUGACAAAAAACAUACUGGAGUAGUAGGAGCCAAGUUUCGCAGCAGCUUAUACACAUGGAUUCAUAUACGCCCUGAUUCAGUGAUCUGUUUGGUCUAGGAAAACGAGAGAAAAGAAGAAGAAGAAGAAGAAAAAAAAAAGGGGAUCUCGUUGUCAUCUAUCUGAAUUCGGCGUCCUCGGUGAGCUGCUCGUUCUUGGGCGGCGGCUUCUCUGUCUCGGUGAGCACCUUGUUGUUAGGGGCUUGGGGGUCGCCGAACUUGUCCUUGAAGGCGUCCUGCCGCUGCAACCACAUCAUGUGCCCCUGCAACCACCACCAAUUUGGAGCUCAGAAUCUAGGGGACUGGAUUGGAUCCGGCUUGGGAUGAACACAAGAGUAAGGGAGAGAGAACCUGGAGCGCGGCAGCCCAUGCGACGAGGAAGGAGGCGACCCAGAACUUCUUCUCCUUCACCAGCUUCGACAGAUCCAGCGCCGCCAUGCUUCGAUCUCGGCUCUCUUCCUUUUCUUUUUUCACUUUUCGGAUCGGAGACCCCUGCUGUGUUCCUCUUCGUGGAGAAGAACUCGGCAGUUGGUUUGGUUUGGGCCAAGCAAGAAUGGAAAUGGACCAGGCCAAAAGUAAAGCAACCACUAGACUGUCUGUCCUCCAAAAUGCGUGUUAUAGGAUUCAGUUUGCAGGCCCACGGGCUUUACAACCUCUUGUCCGUUUUCGCGGGUUGGGCCGGCAUAUCCAGGGCAGAAGACCCAGCCAAUUACACGAGAUGAUUGCUUCUGCUUCCUAGUUGUACAUUUCUUCGGGUCGCAAGAAGAAUAAUCCGAGACCUGUCUUUCUGACAUUUUAAUUUGUACAGUACAAAAGUCACGCCCAGCUUGUACACACACUAACCAAGGAUGUUAAUCAGCUGUUCGUUUCGUUUAUCUUUACUAUUGGCUUCACUUGAACAAUCGGGCUCUAGCAGCACGACACGGAGCAAAAUAAUUCAGCGCUUGCCUCUCCCCACCGGCAUGCAUGCAGAUGCAGGGCUACCCGACGAACGGGGGCACUGUUAUUCUAUGCACGCGAGUCCAAGGAAAUGCAGGCAACUUUAAUUUGAAGCAACGCUGGCAGUAGCCGCGAAUCAAGCAAAAGGGCGAAAGUCAAACACCGGCACUGCAGGCGAUGUUUUGUUCAUUCAGGAAUUUCAGACUCAUGCAUACAGUUGAGGCAACACACAGACCAACGGUGCCAAUAAAUAAUGCCGUAGUACAGACGUACACUUUGAAAGUCUGAAAUUGACGAUUCAGGUUCAGGUUCGGACACCACUUUGCACAGGCUACCUAUGUGCCUAACUGCCUGCUACCAGUACCCACGCUGGCACACACACCUACUGCCGUGAAGGAAGAAAGUCUGAAGUUGAUGAGAGAGUUGUCCAAGGAUGAAUCAACACAGGGACAUGGCAUUUGGUUACCGGCGUUUCUUGCCUUUGGAUCUUGAUUGAGUCAGGGCUGUGCUCCGUCCGUGCCUUGUGUCUGCGCCCCAGCUGCUGGUGCUAACUUGCUGUUGCUGCUGGGCAAUUUCCUUGGGAUGCAGCGUGCGCGGACGCCGUCCACCUCCUUCUCUGCCAGCUCCAGCUUACUGCUGCCCCUGCACGACACGCCCACACUGUCAGUGGGAGCACACAUAAAUUAAGCAUUGCUGAUCAAAGCAAAGACAUUUUUAGAUUUGCUUAGCGGUACAAUCAUGCUUGCUGACGCAUGCAAAUCAAAUGCAUGGAUAGACGAUGGGGAUCCAGAUCGACGACAGGGUUGCGCAAAUAGACAGACAGACAGGGUGCGUGAUCGAGCAGCUAGCAAAUAGCAGUGGCAAAUGACAGUGACAAUAUGGCGCUAGUAUCCAUCGCUUUUCGAUGCAAUGGAAAAGCUGAUGGCUUUUUUCCACUGUAAGGCUAAAGGCCGGCUUUCCUGACUUGUCCCCGUGCUGUGCCGUGCCCAUUGCCAUGCCUACGUCUCCACCUGUCGUGUACCAUCUCUAGCUAGCUUCCAUGAUUCCAUCCAAGCUCAGCUCACUACUAAAUAAAACUGCUAAUUAAGCUAAGCUAAGUAGCAGAAGAACAAUCAGUUAAGUGAGUAAUUACCUGUCGGCAUUGUAGGAGGACGACCUCUUGAGCUCGCUGCCGGCGCCGGCGCCGUCGCGGUCGAGGCUCUUGUUGUUGGUGGUGGUCUCGACGAGGCUGCCGCUGAAGUACUCCCUGUCCAUGCCCAUGCCUCCUAUGGCAAUGCUGCUGCCGGAGCCCGAGGAGAAGCUGGCGUCCACGCGGGAGCUGAGGUCGGAGCGGCCUCGCGGGAGACGACUCCGCUGGUGCUUGGGCUUGGCGGCGGCGGGGAUGGAGCCGCAGGAGAUGAGCUGCAUGAGCACCGCCGACGCGCGCAUCCUCCCGCCCGCGAUCACGCCCACCACCCGUUCGGCCUCUGCCGCCUCGCGCUGCGGCGCCGCUAUGGCGACUGCUGCAGAGGCGGCGGCGAGGCGGGCGUCGUGGUUGAUGAGCGUCUCGAGCGUGUCGGGGCUGCUGGACGACGGCGGCGGCGAGAUCUCGUCCGCGCCCAGCUCCGUCGCCGCCGGCUCCCUAGGAAUCCGGCGCCGCCUGUCCUCCGUCUGCGUGGCAGCGUCGGCGCCGGGAUGCACGGCUGCGGCCACCCUGUACUCGCCGAGGUCAAACGAGCUCCAGUUCUUCCGGCGCCCAGCCCUGCCGGUCGCCAUGGGCGUCUUUGUCUUGCCCUCCGGCUCCUGCUCCUGGACGAGGCAGCUGGAAGACGAAGAGGAAGAAGAACCAGCGGAGGCGUCGCGCGGGCGCGGCGGCACGAGGAGCUUGGACCCCUUGAGGACGUACUCCUCGGUUCCGUCCUUGUCAUUGGCGGGGUGGACGAGGUCGUCGGCGGCGAGGUCGUGCCAGACGUAGCCGUUCCGGUAGCCGCGCUUGGAGGACCACGAGUAGGCGCCCGCCAUGGCGGCGCCGCGGAGCAGGGCGAGGCGGGCCAGCACGUCCUGGAGGCUCAGGCCUCGGUGCGGCGAGGAGAGCGGCACCUCCAUGAAGUGCGGGUGGUCGAGCUGGCCGUCCUCGCGGGACAGGUAGUACACCACCGCCGCGGUCGCCUUCUUCUUCGGCGCCGGGGCACGGCGGGUGGAGCUGGUGGGCUUGGGAGGCUCUGUCCAGACGAUAGUCCGGUCGGGGCUCGCCCAGCGGCCUCGGGAGCUGCUGGCCAUGGAUGAUGGAUCGGGAGCUUAAUUGGAGGGGAGUGGAGUGGAGUGACAGGUGCUGCUGCUAGUGAGAGCGUGGCACAACGUCAGCUGGUUCCGACCGGGCGGGCUAUCUAUAUACUCCGUGCGACUGGAAGGUGAGGUGUGAAUGAAUGAGUGGCGGCGGAAUGGGUUCAAACUUGUGACUUUGUGAGUGAGGCGAGCUAGCACAAUGAAUGAGUAAGUUUGAGGUGCUGCCUGAAGAGAAGGGGAUUCGGCAUUGGAGGAAGAGUACAGGGAGAUGGAGACAAAGCUUGAGGUCAUGCUGUUGCUGCAUAGUACGAUUCCAUGUACAGUUCCCACGUCCCUGCCCGCGGCGGCCUUCAAUUUCCAGCAAUCCUGUGCUGAAACGUGUGCCCGGAAAACAAUACUCCUACUCCCUCACAGCUGACUGCUCCUGCUCCCUACUCUACGUGCCGUGCCGUGUCGUUGAACGUAUGUAUAACAUUCAUUGUUCCUGGAUGUAGGCCUUUCGUGUACGGACUAGGUAUGGAUGGAGGAGGUGGACUCUGUGACUGUCAUUCCUGAAUGUACCCUAUGUACUCAUGUGCAGUAAAGCAGGUGGCCGCCACACCCACGCUGCUGCGGCGAUAGGAAGAAGAUGACUAGUAAUUGACUAGGAGUAGUGGUUUGAAAGCUCGAUAAUUAUGUGGGACAGACAGGGCACAUGCUGCGUCGUUUGACUUGUUAGCACAAUCAAACCCCAUGGAUCGCACAACGCGCCCUAUUUGUUUAUCCAUAAUACGACUAGUAUAUUAUUUGGACCUCUGAUUUGACUGACCAUCGUGUAGAGUAGUAGACCUCUCGACACGUCACAACUUUUCAAAAAAAAAACCCAUCCGAUGAAAUGGGCCAGGCAAUCUCUCAUUUUUUCUUGGUUUGUACUAAGUAGUAUCAUGCAUGUCAGUUUUGUUGGACGUAAUUAGGUUGUGUUUGUUUGGGCUGGAACUUCACGGCUGCAGAUUCUACGGCCGUAGAUUUCAGAAUCAGCUGCGGCCGGAAAGUUGGAGCUGUCUGAUAUCUGUUUGUUUCGGCGGCUGGUGCAACUGCAGCUGCAAGUGAAAUGUGAUGAAAUGACCUGAAUGACCCUAUAGUUCUGUAGAUUGGAUUUUAGUGCUAAUUGUACCGUUUUAAAUAUAAAUUACUGAUUUAAGAGUUGUUUUUCUGCAAAUAUCAACUUUUCUCUCCAUUAUACAAUGUAUACAUACUGCAUUAAAUAAAAUAAGUAAUAUCUUAUCAAUUUAUGGUCAUCGUGACAAUGCAAUAGCAUCACAUCUAGAAAAAUGGUAAUAAUAUGAAUCACUAUUUUGCGUUACAGUUUCUAUCUAAACAAGUAUACAUCAAAGAACAGUGAGAAUUUGGACAAAAUACAAACACAUGUACACUGAACCUCGAUUAGCAAGCACCCUAUCUAGCGCUACAAGCCACAUCAUCGAUCAAGUAUUCUGGGAUCUUUGCAGUUUUGCUACUGUACAACCCAACCCGAAGAACAGGUAUGCUGACAUCGUACAAAGUACAAACCCAAUUCAAGCCAACCCGAACGAAACCAAGAAUAAUUACAAGAAUUGGGUGAGAACCAAAAUAAAUCACACAAGGAUUUGCAAAAGUAAGGAAGAAGAAACAAGCGGGUGGCGGCUACAGGUAGGAGCUUCAAGAAGGGGUAGGCGGGGACCUCGGGGAGCAGCCCCGAGCCAGCCUGCUUGCUCCGGUCCGUUCGCGUGCCCCCGCCGCUGCUCCGUCCGCGCGCCGCCCCUCCGGGCCACUGCUCCGCCCGCGUGUCGCCGCGCCGGCCGCUGCUCUGCGCCUUGGGCAGGGGCUGGUGGCGCAGGCGUCGGGGACAGAGGAGCAAGGGCUGGGGGAGUCAGGGCCGUCGGGAGCAGGAGGUCGGCCGCCGGCGGCGGCGGCGUUCUGAACCCUAGUUCACCACUUCGCCAUCGCGCGUGAGAGGCGAGAUAUUUUGAUCGGGGUUCUGCUCGGGAGUCCGGAUGUGGCUGGGGCGAAGAAUAGAUGGUGAAACGUUUUGUGGCAUUUGGUACGUAAUAUGUGAAUUGGUGGGAGGGUAUUUCGGUACAAUGGUUGAUUUGGAGCGGCAGCAGCUGCAGGAAGCACCCAUUUUCCAGCUUCUCGCUUGUAGUGCAUUUGGGUGGAGCGCUACACGGAAACGGCUACGAGAAUCCGGCCCCAAAUUUGAUGCUUGUUUGGGCUCCACCUUUUAGGGUGUGGAAGCCGUUGGAGCAGCUCUUUGGAUCCAGAUAAACAGACCGGCUGCAGGUGCCGGAGAAGGCAAUGAAGCGCGCGGGUCAACCAAGAACAUUUCCGUGGGAACGCACGGGGUCAAAGAAGACGACCAGGUCGCAAGGCACAUGCAGACACGUCCGCGUAUAGUCCUUCCUACACAUGCAAUUUUAGGCACUCUCUGCUACUCUAGUCUCCAUCCGACAUGUUGCUCACUGCACAAACAAAUACUGUCAUUCUAGUUCGGAAAUUUUCUUCCAUGCAUGAUGCAUCUUCUUUACAACAAAAAAAAGAAUAAACGUUCCGUACAAAUGGUGGAUUUUUCUUUCUUUUAUUUUUGAGCGCAACAAACAAACGGUGGAUAGCUAGCUUAAUCCGUACAUGUCGCAGUCCUUUCUCAGAUGGCCCGGCAGGGCCUGUAGUACCAACGUACGGCUAUCACUUGGCCCAGAAAAUCGUCUGCCAUGGCGGCUACUAUUCUAUGUACCUUUGGGCCUUAGCUAGGCAGAAUGCCAACCAGCCCAAGUAGGAAAAAUACGAGUCCGAAUUGGAUGACUGGGCCGGCCGUCCUAUAGUGUGCAAGUGUUGCAAGGUGCAGUUCCACCCUGCGUGGGGAACUGGCUUCUGCAAGAUUGUAAUGAAACUGUUAUUUAUUUGAUCUAUAAAGCUUCCAAUUCAAAAAAAGAAAAAAUCCGAGUGCAAAGCCAAAGAAAUGCAGGCUUCCACCCCCCUCUCUAUUCGCCAGGCAGUCUUUGAUUAGCCGAACCGUCUGAUCCACCCCGUGGUAAUCGGCUUUGAAAAUUGUGAGAUUGGUUCAUAAGCGGAAAAGAUGAGUGCAUUUAGGGAAACAUGAAUUUACCCCAAGUAGUAGCCAUCCCAGCAGAUUCUCUCGUGAUUCCUGCUUCACAGAUCUGCAAGAGCGCAUCGACUAAUCCUCACGGACUAAGCAGAAGAACAGAGAGAGAGAAGCAGAAGGUGGGGGUGGGAGGGGGGAGGUUUCCCACACGAUUACAUAACAUCUGCUAAUAAAUUUCGUUGAACACCACCGAUUAAGCUGUGAUGAUCGUCGUCGUCUUUAGUGAAGUGCAUAGAUGAGCGGCAAAAGUAACAGAUAUUGAUGUCCCAAAGCAACAUCAGUCUUUGGUGAAGUACGUUCUGCAUUGUCCGCACCGGGCUCAUAAAAAAGACGCAAAUGGGCCUUCGGUUGGUCGCGAACAAAAUUGUCCAGCCUCAUGGGCCAAGACAAAUGCCUCUUAUCGCUAGAAAGAAAUGGGUGAUUUUCACCAUUUUGUCAUCACAUAACCAUGUCACAGUGUGUAUAAAUAGUGUAGCAUAUAUUUUUCCUGCAUAUACGGAGCAUGACUUAGUUUCAGAAUUUACGAUCUAUUCAUUCAAUAUUUCCCUUUUUAGAAGACAAAUUCUUGCAUUUGGAUUAUCUAUCACAUAUAGAAAUACCUUAUCCUAUCCAUUUAGAAAUCUUUGAUUUAACUCCUUCAAUAUCGUCUCCAAGAUGUUCCAUCUUUGCAUUUUUGCAAUUUUUCUCAACUACCAUUCGAAUCAGAAUAGUCUUCUUACUUCAGUGAAAUCCAUUUUUCUUUUAAGAAAAUAAAAUAAAAUACUAUUUUGAUUCCUAUAUAACUCUUAUGUAUCAGAAUAUGAUUUUUUUUCUUACCAAAAAGAAUAAUGUUUGACAAAUUAAUGCAAAAUGAUCAAUUAAAGAAAAGAGUUGAUACAACAACAAUCAAUUAGGAGUAUCCCUUGAGUCCACUACUCCCCCAUACUACUAGUGAAAGAGAAAAUGUAAAGACUACCAUUAAAGCAGCCCAAGCGAGCACUGUCAAGCUCUUCGCAUUUUUAACCUCUAUUUUUGUCAGUGUUAGGAUUACUGAUUGAAUUAAAAUUUCAGAGCAUGGACGAAAAAAAUA